CAAGCAGGAGCUAAACAUAGUGAUGUAAUGAAGACCUACGACAUUAAUGCUAUUCCUUCCAUGAAGCAAGUAAGUUUUGAACCAAAGCCUACACUUCUUGAUAAUGUCAUACGGUUCCUAAAAGGCCAGAAAACAAAUAUCUCGACCGAAACACAUGAUGCUUUGCUAGUGGUGGCUGCACUGGUUGCAACAGCCACUUUCCAAGCGGUUCUCAGCCCACCGGGAGGGCUUCGACAGGCUGACAGUAGCGACAGUGAUUCACUUCCGUUCAGCAAGGUGGGGAAGGUGGUGAUGAAAGAAUGGUUAUACAUAACUUUCUUGAUUCUUAAUAGUACUUCAUUUUGGGUGACAAUCAUAACCAUUUAUCUUUUACUCCCAAACGGGUUUUAUGGUCAGCUAUCGACUCUACCCUUAAUUCUCUUCUCGAUUACCUACUUGUUCUGCUCAACAAUCAUAUCACCAAGCCUCAUUUGUGCCAUUGUUAAUUUCAGCUUUUUCAUAUGUUGUGUGGUGUUACUCAGUUCAGGCCUUGUGGUUAUAUCCAAUCAUUCCUUGUUGUCCUACAUCAGGAAAUUAUGGUCCCGUUGCAGAUAGGAUGAUUUACUUGCGGAUUUGGAGUUUGUUGCAUGGAACCUCCUCAUCACUUGUUUGUGUUGUGUUACUCUGUCUACGACAUAACGUUGAACUCUAUUGCUAAUCGUUGAAUAAUGCGUUGUAAUUAAAGUUUGUAUUCGAAUAAUGUGUUGUAAUUAAAGUUUGUAUUCAAUCAGUGAGAAGGGAAUGGAUGAAUUUAAGAAAUUUAGUAGCCAUUUAAUUAGGAUGCAUGAGUUACAGAUUAACUACUUGGCUAGAAUAGAAGAAAGUAUAGAAUUUAAAAGUAGAGAUUGUAAGUGAUGAAGCCAAUGUAAGCUAAAAAAAAAAGUAAACUAAAAUUUCAUAUUCCAUCAUGAGUGUAUUUUCCCUUUACCAUCUUCAGAGUUUUUUCAACAAAGUAUUAAUCAAAGUUAAAUAUCCUUACAAAGAAAAUAUAGUGAAAAGAGAGUGAGAAAAAAAUGAACUUUUAAAGUGAUGAGUCAUGGAUUUCACAACUAAUUUAUUAAUCAACAAUAGAUUUUACGGUAAUGUUUGUAUAACAUCUUCAUACCCGAAGAAACUACUAAGAAAAUUAAGUUCGUUCAAUGAUUUUAUUUAACUAAUUAAAUUAUUUUACUUUUAUGUCACUUUUUAAAUGCAUAUCUAAACUUAAUACCAACUUUAGGUAGCUCUAUUAUUAGUUAAUAAAUGAAUAGGGACCAAAUUAUGAAAUUUGCAAACACAUUUGCUUCUAACUCUUUGACCCACAUAAAAAUAUGACAUUUAAUGUGUGCUACUAUUAUUAGUACUUUUAAAGAACUAUAAGGAAAAUAUUUCUCAAUAGUGCAACUUUAUUGAUUGAUACACAUACAUCAAGCAAAAGUACACAUACCCAAGUUUUUUGUUUAUUAUGCGUAAGGCAAAGUUUUGGGCACUUUGCUGACAUAUAAACACCUACUUAAUAACAUAAUAAUAAUGAAGCCACUAUAAUUGAGGAAAUUAAUUAUCUUUUAAAAGGUUCUUACUUUCUUUUUUCUCAAGAAGUUCAAUUGCGAUGUAUUUCAUUCAAGCUCAAUAUCUGAUUCAUAAGCAACUCCAGCUUUCCAAUCACUAGGAAUAACAUUUGAUGCCUGCACCCAAUAUACACCCGCUCUACCUUGAACUUGGAAUCUCAAAGUGACCGCUCCCGAUCGUGGAUACGUUGUGUCGAAAACUGCCCCGUAUGCCCUCCUCAUCCCUAUCCAUUCCUUACAAUCCGCCUGCAUAAUUCAUAUCACCAACAAAAUUUUGAUUACUAUGCUUUUAAAAUUAGGUUAAAUCACUAUUUAAGAUCACUAUUUAAGGCCUGAAUUUGACAAUUACAUUCAUAUCUAAAAUAUAGAAUGUAAAUUCUUUUUAUUCUUAGUUCUUGAACUUGAUAAUUAAUCUCACAUUGGAAGCUUGAACUAGACAAUUAUUCUCAUAUUGGGACAUGAACCUUUUUUAGUCUAGGCUAAUCUUAAAACUUCGCAAUUGUUUUUAUAUUGGGCCUUUAGUUUUAGGAUUUUCAAAAUAAAAUUAGGCAUCAAUGUGAAAACAAUUAUCUUUUUUGUCCCAAUGUAGGAAAAAUUAUCAAGUUCUGAAAUUAACUUGGACAAAAAAAGUUUCAAGCUUCAAUAUAAAAAUAAUUGCUAAGUCCAAAUCUUAAAAAAAAAUCUAAACCUUUAAAAUUCCUUGAGCUCACCAACAAUGUAACACUUCAAUUUACCUGCCAAACAUCUGCGGCUAGAAUUUCUGUUUGGCCAGCUUGGUAUAAUAUUACAAUGGCCAAGUAAUUUGGGUACUUGCUAUGUUCAUGAACCUUGAGUUGCAUCUUGUAACCACCAGGGGAUUCGCUGGUAUUCUACUUCGACUACUCCGUAAGCGAACAGCUCGGCCGCUUUGUCCGAUUAAUGUGCCAUCCUAGAUUAAGCGCGGGGGCUGAGGAUGAAAUCAGUGUUGUCACCUUCGCCGUAGUCGGUCACCACUAUGUUCACCCCAUUAUCAGUACAGAGUUGGGGGUUUGUGCACCUAACCUGAGAGUUAAAAUCAAAACAAAUUCAAGUGACAUUAGUUAGCAAUAACAUUGAGUCGAGUUGGAAGAAUGACAAAUUUCAGCUUGAACAGAAUUUAAAUUUUGAAUUCCAUCGAGUAUAAUUUUUAAAGCUCAAGGUAUAAUUUAAUUUAUUUGAUCACUCAAGUUUUAUAUUUGAGCUCGAGCUUGAAUUAUAUUUUUGCUUAUACAAUUUUGGUAUUAAUUAAACUUAAUAAAUAAUGAAUAUAUAAUAAGAAAUUAAAAAGUUUUAGGCAACAAUUAAAUCUAAAUUUUCUAAUGAUCAUUGCUGGGUGGGUGAACUAAUUGGACCAAGAAUCAGUUAGGGUACUAAUCCGGAAAAAGGUGUUGUAAAUCGGUUGAACAAGUUUUUUUUUACUAUUUUUUAAUAUAUAUAUUUUUUUAAUAAUUUAUUCGAUUAGACCAACAAAUCAAUCGAAUUAAUCAAAUUGAUCAGACUGGGAAUUGGUGGUCGAACGAUUCAGCUAUCGAUCUAGUUCUGGAAACCUUGAUAAAAAAAAUAUUUAAUAUUUAUUUAAAUAUAUAUCAAGGAUAAAAAAUAAUUUAAUAAAAUAAAAUACUUAAUAUAUCUUAAAAAUGAAAAACUAGAUUAAGCUCAUGUUGGAAUUGUGUAUCAAGAUACUUAAAUUUGACUUUUUUAAUAAUUCAAAGUGCUCAAACUCAACUCCGUGAUUAUCAAAUAAGAAUCGAUUUUGAAGCUUAUACCUGAUAGCAAGUACCACAGCCAGUUCCAUUUUUGUAGAGCCUGUAAGAAACCCCAGCCACAUUCGCAUCAUUCACAGUCCUUCCAAAUUCUCCAUAUCCACAAGCUCCCCCUAAAAUUCAUCACAUAAUUGUUAGCUAAAACAUGAUAAACAUUGAAUAACCAUGCAUAAUUUCUUCAAGUAUUCAUGUUCGAAUAUGUGUCAAAGAACGAAGAGUCCAAGCAAUACGAUAAUGGUAAAUAAAUAAGGAGCAAUGUUCAUACUUGGAGUCCCUAAACAAUCAGGGCUGCCAUAGUAAGUUGCUCUGGACUUUACAUAGUCCUGAGCACAACACAGUGUAGGCAGAAACACCAUGACAGACAUAAGGCAGCAAUGAAACUUCAAUGAGAACCCCAUGUUUUCUGCAACAAAAAAUUUAUAGUAAUAAUGGAACAAAAUUAAAAAGAGAAAUGUAGUUAAUGAGAUGAGAAGCUAAGAGACCAGAGUUCCCAUAUUUAUAGCAGAAAUGAAGAGUUAUGUGUAUGCAAUAUCUGCAGGUUGAAUUUGAAAAGGUUAUGUGUCAAUUAUUACUAUGCUCUUGGGAUUAAAUUAUUAAGUUUAUCCUACAAUUGGUUUCCAAGGAUUAAAGUAUAAUAGUGGAGACUAUGUUUUCUCCAUUUCUUCUCUGUCUCUAUCAAUGGAUAGAUGAAAUUAGAGAAUCCCACAUUUUCGGAUUUAGAAUUUGUGUUUAUUAGAGUAUAAUAUUUUUUUUUAUAACUUUGAUGAUUUAGGGUGGGUUUAGAUGGGUGGUGCGUUUACCUGCGGUUAGUGUAAAAACAGCGGUGGCGGUGAGAUUAGAUACUGUAGCGAUACUAUAACGUGAGACAAAAAGUAAGUUAAACGCACCGCACCGCACUCAAUCGCCUAUCCAAAUCCACCUUUAAUGUAUUUUUAAAAUUUUGUCUUUCGACUUUAAAAAGAGUCUAUAACAUCUCUUAAAUCACUGAACAAUGAAUACGUGCCUAUUAACAGCAAUGCUCAUAUGGAACAAAAAUCCUUUAGGGUGCGUUGAUUCUUUAGUGGCAUCCAAAAACAGGGACGACACCAAAGGCAGGAGCUUAAGCUAUGAAAUAUCAGUUUAGUCCCUCCAAAGUAUACAUGUUUUCCAUUUUAGUAUUAAAUUUUUUUGUCCCUUGAAAUCUAAGCCAUUACUCCGUUAUAGAUUUGAGUCGAAAAAGUAAAAAGAGCUAGAAGGAUUAAUUGGCGAAUCAACCAAUAAGAAGAUACCACAUGAAAGUUCGUUACACAUGACAAUUAAUGACAUGACAUUCAUUUAAAAAUAUUCAAAAUACAAAUAUAUGUAUAUAUAAUAUCUAAAAAAUAUAUAAAUUUUAUUAAAUUUAAAAAAAUCAAAUUUUUACAAUAUAUAACUAUAUAAAAUAAAAAAUUAUAAAAACAUCAUAUAAAAAAUUCCAAAUUAUAUGUAUAAAUUCAAAUUUUUACUAAAUUUAUUAAAUUUAAAGAUUCAAAAAAUUAUAAUAUAUAAUAUUUUAUAUACAAACAUUAUAUAAAAUAUAAAACAAGGGGGAAAUAUAUAUAUAAAUUCAAAUUUUAUUAAAUUUAUAUUUAUAUUUUUAUAAUAUACCAAUUACAUAAAAUAAAAUAAUAUAUAUAACAUUAUUUAAAAUAUAAGUAAUUUGAGAAAAGGAAAAAAAAUAACUCUAAAAAUUUUAAAAUCUAUAUUACAAUGUUCAAAAGUCAAACAUUAGCGUCAAAUUUGGCACAAAAAUCUAUAUUAUGAUGAUAUCGGUAAUAGCACCGUUGAGUGACAUGACCAAAGCGCUCACAAAUUUGGCACUAGUGGCGUAGCCAAAAACUGUUAAACUUUGGCCUGCAAUGCAACAUGGAACCAGCAGCAAGCUCACAUCAAGACCAGCAACAGCAAAGCAGUUUGAAGUGCAGCAUUGUAGCUGAACCGAAUGCAACAGUUGUUUUGGUUAUUUUGUUCCCGUGUAACUUUGCUUAGUUUACUUGCAACUUGUUUAACAAAGUUAGUAGGAUUAGUUUAUGAUGUAAUGGCUGAUAUGUCAGCUUAUUUUGUGUGUAACUUAAGUUAGCAUUAGUCUAGUAUUAGUGGGGGCAGUUAAGCCAUUAAGUAACUGUCAAAUUAACAUUGUAACUCUCAUAUAUUUCAAAAUUUUGAAUGAAAAUUAGUAUGAAUCCUUUAGUUACAAUUUUUGCCAUUAGUUUUCUUUCUUUUUGCUUCGAUUUCUUUGCUUGGUCUUCUACUUUUGUUUGUUUUUAUUUUAUUUUACUGCUUAAGUUCCAACAAAUGUUAAUCAGAGUCUGUCAUCUUUAAAGGCCUCUGUUGUUGGUUGUUUCUUUCCAAAACAAAACUUGAGAAGAGAGAAAUCGAAACUGUUGGGCUUGUUUCAGCAGGAUGAGUUUUACACCACCUCCACCACCUGUGCUCACUAGAAAGAACUACCAUAUUAAAGGUUUGGAUCUAGAAACGAAAGAUAAAAUAAAAAUAGAAUUAGGAAUAUUGAAUCGAAAAUUCGAGAAAUUAAAAAUAGAGUUGAGAGAAAGGAAAUUCUUAUGGGAGAUUUCAGCCUCUAGUUGUCUUGUUCCGCCUUGGGUUCAAUCCUCGGCUUUUAGAUGAUUCUUCCCAAACCAAAUAAGCCAGUUAUAAUGGAAGAGGACACCUACAACCACCAGCUCCAAGGAUUUAGACUUACAAUUUAGUGGAACCUGACUCUAGCCAACAAUCGCUUCUGUAAGAUCGUCUUAUGCUAGAUCAACGCUUCUCAAUGGCGAAUCCCAUGCCAUUUUGUCUAUUGGGCUCGCCAGCCUCUGACGCAGUAAGCUAACGAACCGACUAUGCAACCUUCCCAAAAUAUACAAAGUGGCCGCCUUUGCAUACGUUGAAAAGCUUACUUCUUAAGGGACAUGGACAGAAGCGUCAACCCCGUAGUGCGGAGAAACGAUGAAUACUCAACGAGGAGGCUAAGUAUGGACUCUAAGCCUCAAGAACCCUUUUUGGGGAAUAUCAACAACUUUCGGCUAGAUGAGUUUAGUAGCUCAUGGUUGUGGUGGAAAAGAAAAUAAAUAUAAUAAAAAUGGAGAUUUUUUUGAAAAGAAAUAUGAGAAGAACAAAAGCCUAGACUUUUGGGGAGAGAGUGUUUAUAGCAAAAAAAAGAUGGAUCUCUUUUGAGUUACUUCACCCCCUAUUUAUAGUGCUAGGGGAGAUAGUCUAAUCCUACAUAAACUCCCAAAAGAUAAAUACAUUUAAUUGAAGAUAAAUAAAGAUAAAUAACAUAAAAUCCUAAAAUUAGAUAAUCCUUAAUAAUUAUCUUAAUAUUAAUUAUCCUAAUAUAAUUAAAAUAGAGUUUGAUAGAAUAAAAUCUUUUCUUUUUGCAUUUCAACCCUUGUGUCCUCCAUACUUGCACUUUUGGCACCAACUUUUCUUUGUGUCGCACAUUGGCCCAUUUUAUCUCUAAAUUCACACUUUUGGCCCUUAAUUUUGCUUUUGCCUCAAAUUUAGUCCCUAUGAGAUAAAAGAUCACGAAUAGCUCAAAUUAGCAGGAUCAUACUCAGAAUAAAUACAUAAUUAAUACAUAAAAAUACAUUAUUCUAGAGUGUUUUUAGUUUAAAUCGAAUAUGAAUUACACAAUUUGAGUUAUCCGAAAAUCCGAAUAAGAAAAGACAAAACUAUGUCGUUUUAAUAAAUGUUUACUCUUUAAAAAGUUAAAAUUCAAAACAAUUAAGUUAAAAGGCAAAACUAUGUCGUUUUAAUAAAUGUUUACCCAUUAAGUUAAAAGGCAAAAUCAUUAUAUUGUUCAUGUAGUUAAAUAAUCUUGUACUUUGUCUACUAGUUAAAUAAUUGGUCCAUCUAAAUGCAACAUUAAGUAUAAAUAAAAUGAUUCAUUAACUCGACUUGAUUUGACUCGAAAUUUUUUGACUCGAUUCAAUUCGAUUUGAAAAAAAUUCAAAUUGAGUUUGGUUGCUAAAAUAGGAUUUGUCAACUUGACUAACUCAAAAAUUUUUGACUCGAUUAUACUCGACUCGAUCAAAUACUCACCCUUAAUUCCCAGAGGGAUCAUCAAUGGGUUAGGGGGACCAAAUUUCAUAAGAGCAAAAUAAAAGGGCAAAAAUAGAAGUAAAAAUAAUAAGUUGUAGGACGAAAUUGAAAACAGCAAAAAAGCAGAAGGGCCAAAGCAGUAAUUAGACCCUCCCCUUUAAAAACAUGCUGAUCCUAAGGGAAUUCGAGUCAGGUCAUCGGGUCGGCCCCGAAAUGACACCAUUUUGGGGCGUUUACGGGCAUGACGAAAUGACGUCUUUUAAGUAACCUUAUUUAAGUAAAAAAUAUUUUUAAAAAAUCAUUUUAAAAUAAUUUUUCAAAAAAAAAAUUCAUUCCUCUUUUUUCUCUGAAGCUCUUCCUGUGUUCGGCUACAGGGCCGUCGGCGCUACACCAAGGCCACUAGUCAUUGGCGAUGGUAGUCGUCGCCUCUGGUGGUCGAAGUUGUAAAAAAUAGACUUUUUAUCUCUGUUAAACAGGGAACCCGGAUCUAAGGCCAAAAUCCCUAAAACUCGGUCAAAAUCUAAAAAUGCAAAAGGGACCUUUGGUUCCCGACCAUCUUCCAACGCGACCUUUCGGUGAAUCCCCAAGGAUUCGAUGGCCUUUCAAGCCAAAGGGGACAUCGACAGUGGAGGCAAAGGUAAAAAAGUUUUGUAUUUUAUUUAUUAUUUUUAUAUGUAUACGAUAUAAAAUAAUAUACUUUUUUUAAGAACUGGAAAUUUUUAUUCCUUUUUGCUCUUCUUUUUUUUAUUACAAUCUGUUUGUUUUGCUUUUAUAGCCGAUUGAUUAUAAAUAUUUGUAUUUGUAUUUAUUUUUGCUUUUUCUUUUUUUUUAUUCCGUUUUUGUCUUUUUCUUUCUUCUUUGCAGGUCGCGAUGGUAGUCAACGACGAUGGGAGUCACACCCUUGUCAUUUCAAUGAAUCGAUAGCAGGGGAGGCAAUCCUCGAGUGAAGCAUCCGUUGACGUGGCCAGGAGCAGCGGCGUAUAAGAGAUCUAGGGUUUUUUUUAUUUUCUAAAAAAAAUUUAGGUUGUGGUCUUGAGCUUAUGUAACAUUGGGUUUGGGUUUGUAAUUUGGGUUAAGGUAAAUUUUGUUUUUGUUUUGUCUUUGUUUGGGUUUAUUUAUUUGUAUUGGCCAGGCAAAAUUGGGUUACUACAUAUACAUAUAUGAUUUAUAUUUCUAGAGUUCUCUAGGAUGGACUCACAAAUGCACUGAUAACGAAGACAUAAUAGACUUUGAAGGUGUUCAUGUAUGCUACUAACUUUUUGUGCCAAGCUUGAUAGUUCCCAUGCCUCCGAAGUCGAUGUAAUGAACUUGAACCAAAAACAAAAAAAUGAUUUGAUCAUUGAUAAAUUUUAUCAUCAUAUUUUGUCAUUAAGAGCACGUAAAAAAUUUAUCUCUCCUCGUGUCUCAUCCCUACAAGACCUAUAAUCUGUGCAGUACAAGCGACGACACUCCAAAUGAUCCAGUAGGUAGCAGUGGGGAUAUGAGCCAUGGCAGUCGACAAUGGCGGCAUGUUAAAGAUAAUAAAACGAUUAGAGAGGUAGUUAGUGAAUGUUGAAAGGUUAGUUAGUUUGUUAAAGAAAGCUAGUGAUUUGUGUUUAUAAAUACAAAUGUAUGACUUUGUAUUGAGGCAAGUAAACAGUCUAAAUUCAUGAGUAAACAUUUGUUUCAGUAAAAAUUUUCUCAAAGUUACCUGGUUUCUUCAUGGUAUCAGUCGCUAGGAGUUCUUGAUCAUGGCAACAACAAACUCUGCUGCGUUAGACUCUGCUGAAGUGCAUGGCUCAGUCUUUGCUGCUGAUCGUGUGGUGAAUUCGUUUCCUAGGCAUGAAGUUGUGAAGCUUGAUGAAGGAAUGUUUCUUCAAUGGAAACAAUAGGUGCGUUUCAUUGUUAAUGGCUAUGAUUUGUUUGGUCUUUUCGAUGGAUCUAUUGCUGUGCCGUUGAGGUUUGUGCAAGCACCAGAUGGUGCGCUUGUGGUCAAUCCAGUGGCAUCAGUGUUUUAGCAACAGGAUAACCUUCUCACCUCUUGCCUUCUCUCCACUAUCAGUUCGUCAAUUCUUUCUUCGUUCAUGGAUGUUCAAUCGACGUUGGAUGUUUGGACUAUGGCGUUGGCAAUGUUCGCGGCCGAUUCUGAUCAGAGGCAGUCACAAUUGCGACAUGAACUUCACUCUCUCAAGAAAGAGAACAUGUUGAUUCGUGAUUAUGUUACGAAAUUAAAAAGCGUGUGUGCUCUAUUGGAGGCAUCUGAAACCUCUAUCUCAAUGGCGGAGAGGACGGCGGUGCUUCUUGUGGGGCUACCGUCUGACUUUGAGGGUGUUGUAUUGUCAGCCUCAUUGUCUCCAACGCCGUUACCGUUUCAGCGUCUAGUGGACGAUCUUAUCGAGUGUGAAAAUCAACAUGGUCAACCAAGUCAAGAGGUUGUUUAUGCUGCAAACCUAGUGGAAGACGUGUCCAUGGAUGGGUCGUCACGAGGAGGACGAUCGGGGGUGCGUGGCCAUGGUAGGACCUUCAGGCCGCGUCUCCAGUGCCAGAUCUGUUCACGAUUUGGUCACGUGGCUCAGAAAUGCUAUUACCGAUACUACCGUGACGACUCGUCUCUGGUGUAACCUCUGAUGCAAAAUUCAAUGCUGAGCUACCAUGAUUCAGGCAAAAGUGGCUGGCACUCUCAACCAAACACCAGGCCUAGGUUUUCAAACCUUGGUCAAAAUUGCUAUGGGACCAGUCAAAUUAAUUGUGCUACUGGUCAAAAUUAUUUCGGGCCUAGUCAAAAUGCAGUUGGUUUUGGUCAAAAUUUGUGUGCUGAAUGGGGGGUUCAAUGAGCAGCGUGGAGGCCGAAUGUUGGGCCACAUGGUUGGUCCAGGCUGAGUGAUGAAUGGCGUGGUUUUAGGCCUCCCAAUCUUGGGCCGCACACUAGUGGGCCAACUGAUGGUGUUAAUGGCAGAUUUGGACUGCCUUCUCAUCUUGGGCCGAAUGUUGGGCAGAAUAUUCCUCCGUUGUCCACAAAUCCGUUUGUGAAUAAUAUGCAGCUCAAUCAGGCUAACCCGACCGGUCAUAUUCUAGUCCUGUGGCGUACCAAGCCGGGUGCGCGCGUGUUUUCAGCUUCAAAUCCAUGUUUUGGGCUUCCUAAACUGGGAUAUUUACAUGCAUCUAAUUAUUUGGAUUUGUCGAUCUCUAGCUCCCAUAUUAACUAUGAUCGACAUAGAGUGAGUGGAGACGAGUCUGACUUAUCGAUUCCUGGACCAGUUGGGACGUUAUCCUGGUAUCCUAAUUCAGGAGCCAGCAAUCAUGUUUGUCGGGAUCCGUCAGUUUUGUAUAAUGCCGCUCCUUAUUCAGGUACGUCUUCUAUUUUAAUGGGUGAUGGUUCGCCCGCACUGAUAUCGUCCGUUGGUCAAAAUAUUUUGCCGACACAGUCUAGGUUACUUCGGCUAUCUAAUGUUUUAUGUGUCCCAGCCAUUCGGAAAAAUUUGUUGUCAGCAUCACAAUUUGUAACUGAUAAUGGGGUGUUUUUUUAGUUUCACUCUACUUAUUGUAUGAUUAAGGAUAGCGUGACACAGGAGGUUUUGCUGACGGGGCAUAUUUAUAAUGGGCUAUACCGAUUUUCUAUGCCAGAUGGUGUUUCUUAUAUGUCUGCUGCUCAGGUAAAAUGUUCAGAUUCGACUGCCAACAAUGAGUUGUUUUCGUUAUGGCACAAGCGCCUUGGACAUCUGUCAUCAACUGUUGUUAAAAAUGUUUUACAUAAGUGUCAUGUUCAUGUUCAUAUGAAUAAAAUUGCUAAUAGCGAUGUUUGUACUACUUGUAAAAAGGGUAAGUUUCAUAAGUUGCCAUUUUCGGCUUCCAAUACUGAAUAUAUCGAUCCCUUUUCGUUAGUUGUGUCUGAUGUAUGGGGACCUGCUUCGGUUGCUUCUAGUAACAAGUGGUACUAUGUGUCAUUCGUCGACAUAAGUUCUCGAUUUACUUGCGUAUAUCUAAUUCGGUAGAAGCCUCAAGUUAUGACCUACUUCAUUCAGUUUCAGAAACUUAUUCACACUCAGUUUGGCAAGACCAUCAAGCAGUUCUAGAGCGAAUGGGGUGGUGAGUAUCGAGCUUUGGCUUCAGUUUUGGCAUCCCAAGGCAUUGUUCAUCGUGUUUCUUGUCCGCAUACUUCUGAGCAAAAUGGCGUUGCCAAGCGUAAACAUCGCCACAUUGUGGAAAUGGGGCUUACACUUUUAGCUCAAGCGGGACUUUUGAUGGAGUUCUGGGCAUAUGCGUUUACAUGCACAGUUCAUUUAAUAAAUUGUCUUCCACACCAGUGCUGGAGGGUAAGACACCGUAUAGUGUGCUUUAUGGACGAGACCCUACUUAUGAUCACCUGCGUAUUUUUGGAUAUCGUUGUUAUCUGUUUUUGCGCUAGUUUUAGUGUCAUAAAUUAACCUUUCGGUCUCAACCGUGUACGUUCUUGGGCUACAGCCCCUGUCACAAAGGGUAUCAAUGUCUAUUGCCGGAUGGUCGCUUUAUUGUCUCUCGACAUGUAGAGUUUGAUAAAUCUCAUUUCCCCUCUCCGAUGAAUAUAUCUCGAUCACGGGAGGUGAGUACUAUACCUACGUACUUUCCUGUACUUGAGACUAAUCCGUUAUUAUAGAGGAAUGGUGUUACUGGUCCUGUUUGUUCACCUAGUGUACCUGGGUCUCUAAGUCCUCAGAAUGGAGUGGAUGUUAAUCCAACAAAUACUAACUGCCAUAAUACUCCCUCGGUGAAUGAGUUUUUGACUGAAGGUGAUAAUGCUUAUCAUGAUUUCUUGAACUCUGAAACUCAAUCUCCCACGCCUAUUGUUCAAAUUUCGUCUGACCCUACAGGACCAGAGGUUUCUGUGCCUAAUGUGAAUAUUCAUCCUAUGACUACUCGUUCCAAGGCUGGUAUUUUUAAACCUAAGGUUCUUGCUAUUGAGGUUGUAGAACCAUCAACGAUUGAAGAAGCUGUUGCUAGCCCUGAGUGACAAACCGCUGCUCAAGCUGAGUAUGAUGCUUUAAUUCGUAACGGUACCUGGAAAUUUGUUUCUAUGCCAUCAGGUCACAAAGUUAUUGGUUGCAAAUGGUUGUUUAAAGUGAAGAAAAACCCAGAUGGAACGGUUGAACGAUACAAGGCACGUCUGGUUGUGAAAGGCUGUUCUCAAGUUUCGGGGUGUGAUUUUCAAGAAACAUUUAGUCCAGUUGUCAAACCUGCCACUAUAAGGGUUAUCUUGUCAAUCGCGGUUGCUAAAGGAUGGUCACUUCGACAAGUUGAUGUUAACAAUGCCUUCUUAAAUGGUGAUGUUGAUAGUGAGGUGUUUAUGCAGCAACCCCCGAGAUAUGUUAAGCAUGGUUCUGACGGACGACCUUUGGUUUGUCGUUUAAAGAAGGCGUUAUAUGGUUUGCGUCAGGCUCCACGAGCUUGGUUUGAGAAGUUGAGAACUUUCCUUCAGACAGUUGGGUUUGUUGGCUCUAAGUCAGAUGCUUCUCUAUUUGUUCGAGUUCGCUCGGACUCCACUCUCUAUGUGCUUGUUUAUGUUGAUGACAUUAUCAUUACUGGUAAUUUGGCAUCGUCUAUUGACUGGUUUGUACAGUUAUUGAAUGAUGAAUUCUCGUUAAAAGACAUGGGUGAUUUACACUAUUUCUUGAGAGUGGAGGUUACCAGGUCAUCUUGUGGGAGUCUUCAUCUUUGUCAACGGAAGUACAUCCAGGAUAUGUUGAAGCGUAGUGGUUUGACAAGUGCUAAAGGUGUUCAUACACCCAUGAUUAGCUUGUCGCAUGUUUCUAAGAAUGAUGGUGAGUCUUUAUCUAAUCCAACUGAGUAUAGGAGUCUGGCGGGUGCUUUACAGUAUAUGGUUAUCACUAGGCCUGAUAUUGCUUAUGCGGUUAAUCGGGUGUGUCAGUUUAUGCAUAGUCCAACCACAGUUCAUAUGGCUGCCCUUAAAAGGAUAUUAUGAUAUUUAUCUGAUACAAACUGGGGGUUGGAUGUUGAUGAUCGGCGGUCUACUUCAGGAUACUGUGUAUUUUUUGGGUCUAACCCUGUUUCAUGUUCGUCGAAGAAACAACAGGUGGUAUCGCGAUCUACGGCUGAGGCUGAAUAUAGAAGUCUUGCUGCUGUUACAAGUGAUGUUAUGUAGUUAAUUUCGUUGUUAUGAGAGUUGCAUAUUGGGUCUGCUUCUCCACCAAAUAUCUGGUGUGAUAGCUCUAGUGCAGUUGCAGUUGCUGCUAAUCCUUUGUUACACUCCAAGUUUAAGCAUGUGGAGUUAGAUUUAUUUUUAUUCGUGAAAAGGUUGCUGAUGGUUCGGCUCUAGUUGGGGAAGUUCCUGCGUCUGAUCAAGUUGCUGACGUUUUAACUAAACCAUUGUCAGUUUCGUGUUUCACUCGGUUUAGAAAUUUUCUUCGGGUCUUACCAAUAGAGAAGAUGGAUGCAUGUUAAAGAUAAUAAAACGGUUAGAGAGGUAGUUAGUGAAGGUUGAAAGGUUAGUUAGUUUGUUAAAGAAAGCUAGUGAUUUGUGUUUAUAAAUACAAACGUAUGACUUUGUAUUGAGGCAAGUAAACAAUCUAAAUUCAUGAGUAAACAUUUGUUUCAAUAAAAAUUUUCUCAAAGUUACCUGGUUUUCUUCACGGCACAUCAAUCAAAAUAAACUCAAAAGGUAGCUCAGUGAACUCAAUAAUGUACUUGGUUACAUCAAUCAUUGCAUUGAUGAGCUUGUUAAGUGCAUCAAGGUGGGGUUUCAAUGUUAGGGAAUGCUCUAAAAGGUCUGGUAAUUGCUUGAGGAGAGCCACGGAUUUGGCCAAUGAGUUGGAAGUGCAAAGCUGAAUGAUUAGCCAAAAUUCAGCAAAAUUCGCUGUGAAAGCAGCUAAUGUUAGCACCACUUUUGCAUCCCAUGAAUAGCUUGAAAGCAUGUUGAGAAUCCCCAUUGUUGUUGCAUGAGCAUCCCCUCCGCCUGAACACUUGCAUGAUACCUACAAAACAUCAAAUGUUACUAUCGUCAUUUUUCAGUUUCGAAAAAGAUUCAGAUUCUGAAAGAAAAGAGAACAGCCGAAUAACCUCGCAGCAAAUUUUGUGUAUGAUAUAAGCCAAUGCAUCAAGUGCACCAUCAACGGCAGACGAGUUGGUCCGAUCAUCAAGAGCAUCGAUGUGUCCCAUUCCACCCUACCAGACAAUAAUAAUAAUAAUAAUAAUAAUAAUAAACCAAUUUACAUAAUUGUCUUCACCCACAUAUAGUGGGUGUGGCAUAAUAUUGUAUUUAUUAAAAGUUCAUACAAAAAUCAAAUGGUGCUUUGGUUUAAAUAGUAAAGAUUAAAUGUUUAAAAUUUAUUGUGUCAUGAUUUCAAAUCUUAUUAUGUUUAAGUUUUUAUUAUUUAUAAAAGAUAAAAAGAUAAAAACACUCUCAUAAUAAUAUAACUUGCUCAGUACAUAAAAAAAUAUUUUGGUAAUUUUACAACUGAGUUGUUGCUCAGUUGACUUGUAAUACCAACUCAAUUAAGAGCCUAAUAUAAGUAUAGAUAAUAAUUCAAUUUUUUUCAUUCACAUUUUAAUGUUAUUAUUCAACCUAUUUUGCAUAAUUUAUUAUAAUAAACUAAUUUAGAGAAAACUAUACUAUAUUAUUUUUGCUUUAUUUUUUAUGUUAGAAGCGAUAACCUAAUAAUUCAUUUUAGUUAUACAUGAGAUGUUGGAAAAAAAUAGAUUUCUUGGAAGCUUUGAGUCAUAUUCUCGAUUAGUAAAGGUGGAUAUUUGAAUCAUAAAAUUAUGGUUUUAUAUUCCACUCCAUGAGACCUUUACAAUGGUAUAUCAUAUGCUUAAAAUGAUUGAGUGAUGAAUGAGAAAUUGAUGCUCAAAGUAAGCCACUUGUGAAUUAUGUUGAGAAAAUUGGAAAGCUUAGUCUCACAUUAGUUAGAUAUCAAGUGUGAAUUUGUUUCUAUAUGUGAACCAACUUAGUGGUUAUUGAAUAAUUAAACUAAUGCUCUCCCUCGCGCGCAUUUAUAUUAUUAUGAAAAUAUCAUAUUCAAUCUUAAAUUCAAUUAGUAUUUAUAAUUCUCUUUAUAUAUUUUUUGAAAAUAAAUUUGUGUUUUUUAAAAUGAAUGUAUGUAUUAUUUUUAUACAAGGAGUCGCAUUAUGGAUGAAACCUUUCAAUUUUUUUUUGUGUAAUCAUAUGUGUUUUCAUUCGUUUAUUGUUUGAGAUUAAUUAUGUUGGGGUCUAAAUUGGAUUCAAAUAUAUUUAUGUAUUAUUUUUAUAAAAAAUGUCACAUUAUUAAACUUUUAAAAGUUGCGAUAUGGUCACUAACAUUAUCAAUUUAUUAUAUUUUAUCACUAAACCAUUAAUUGACGUUAACGGUGUAACAACAAGUUGACCUGACUGUUAAGAAAUUGAUUGAAAAGAUAAGAGAAAAUAAAAUGCUUCAAGUCUGUCAUUCUUGCUACUACAGCUUGAUAGUAAUAUAAUGGGUAGGUAGUAACUAACUAGCAUACUUAUUACUUAAUUACAAGGAACUUAUCUCUAAAUACUAGGAGUUGUUAUAACAACUUAUUUACCAACUUCAACACUCCCCCUCAAGUUGGAGGGUGAUAUAUGUCUAUCACUCCCAACUUGGAUAUUAAGUGUCGAUGUUGUUGUACUGCUUGUCCUUUAGUAAGAAUGUCUGCAAGUUGUUCCUUUGUUGAAAUGUGUUCAGUUUUCACUAAACCUUUCUAGAUACUUUCUCUUAUAAAGUGGCAAUUGAUUUCAAUAUGCUUGGCUCUUUCAUGGUAAAUAGGGUUUGCUGCAAUUUGAAUUGCAGCUUGACUGUCAAAAUAAAGCACAGCUAGCUUACUUUCUUUGAUCCGUAAUUCGUAAUCAUUUUAACCAUUUCAACUCUACAACAGUAGAUGCCAUGCUCCUAUAUUCGACUUUUGCUGAAGAUCUUGAGACAAUGCUUUGUUUUUUUUUUUUUAUUUCUAAGAGAUUAAGGAACUUUCUAGUUUUAUACAGUACCCCGUUAUUGAUUUCCUAGACAUAAGGCAAGAUGCCCAGUCUGAAUCACAAUAUGCAAUUAACAUUGGAUCUCCAUCAGAAGCAACCAGAAUUCCUUGUCCUAGAUUGCUUUUAAUGUAUCUCACAAUCCUCAAUGCAGCUGCAUAAUGAGACUUCUUAGGCUUAUGCAUGAACUGACUCAAGUGUUGCACACCAUAAGCAAUAUCUGGUCUAGUGUUUGUCAAAUAUAACAAUCUCCCAAUUAGUCUUUGAUAAAUUGUUACAUCUGCUAAAACUUCAUCAUCAUUUUUCAGCUACAAUGUUUCAUCAAAGUCUACUAUUGUAAGCUUUUGAUUCUGCUCUAAUAGAGUGACUGCUGAUUUCACUUCUUUUAAACCGACAUUUUUAAUUAAUUCGAGAGCAUAUUUUCUCUGAUUUAACACAACGCCUGCAUCCGACCUUGAUAUUUCGAUCCCAAGAAAAUAUUUUAGACUCCCAAGGUCCUUCAUCUUGAAAUUAUUGUACAAUAUACCUUUUAAUUCACUGACCAAUUUACUGUCAUUUCCUUUAAUCAAUAGAUCAUCAACAUAUAUAAACAUGAUGACUUUUUUGGAUUCUACACUUUUUGUGAACAUGGAGUAGUCAUGUUUACUCCGAAUGUAUCCAUGUGAAACCAAAGUUUCAGUCGACUUCAAAUUCCAUUGUCGUGAAGCCUGUUUCAGGCCAUAAAGAUAUUUAAGCAACCUGCAGACCCUAUUCUCCCCCUGGUUACGAAAUCCCUCUAGAAGAGUUAUGAACACUUCCUCUCGUAAAUCACCUUGUAAAAAGGCAUUGAAGACAUCUAACUGAUAAAGUGGCCAGUAAAAAAGGGCUGCAAGAGUAAUAACAGUAUAGAUGGUGACUUGUUUUGCUACUAAAGAGAACGUGUCUUGAAAGUCAAUACCUUCCUAUUGAUUGUAGCCCUUGGCGACAACCCGAGCUUUUAACCUUUCAAUUGUGCCAUUAGAGUGAUAUUUGACCUUUUACACCCAUUUACAACCAAUGGAAGUUUUCUCGAGAGGUAAAGAGACUACUUCCCAAGUGCCAUUGGAUUCCAAAGCUUGUAUUUCCUAUUGCAUAGCCUCUAUCCAACACUUAUGUUUACCAACCUCAGAAUGGGAUUUUGGUUUUACAAGGUGUGAUAUGGUGGCAGUGAAGUGUUGUGUAUGGAAAGGUAAAUGAGCAUAAGAAAGAGUAAGAGAAUACGAACCUUGUAUUGCAAGUGAAGAGGAUGAAAAGGAUGGAGGAGAACAUACAAAGUCUUAAAGCCAAGAUGGUCGUGUAGUGGUUCUUGUGGAUCAUCAAAAAGGAGGAGAUGGACGUAAAGGUGGAAAUGAGGAAGGAUCCAAAAUGAAAGAGGAAAAAAAGAUCAGAAGAGGUAAUGGGAGAAGGUAUGGGGGGUUGAAAAGGAAAUAUAAGUCUUCUAUGGGGACCAAAAGUAGUAAUGUAAAACAUUGGAGUAGCAGAACAUGAAAUUUUGAAAGGAAAAAUAGUCUCAUGAAAGGUGACAUUUCGAUUAACAAAAAAUUUCUUCAAAAUAAUAUCAAAGAGAAUGUACCCCUUUUGAACUACAGAAUCAAAAAAAAUGAAAGGAAUGGCUUUAGGAGAAAGCUUAUCAUGAUAAUGUGGUACGGUGGUAUAACAUAAGUACCAAAAACUUUAAGAUGAUCAAGAGAUAGAGGAGUUUUGUAGAGUUUUUCAUAAGAAGAUUUCCAAGACAAAACAGAGGUAGGUAAACGAUUGAUAAUGUAACAAGCUGUUAGCACACAUUCUCCCCAAAAUUUAGAAGGCAAAUGAGAGUGAAAUUUUAAGGCUCUGGCAAGUUUAAGGAGAUGGCGAUGUUUGCGUUCAACAACCUCAUUUUGUUGUGGAGUAUUAACGUAUGAGCUUUGAUGGACAAUACCAAAAGAGGUGAAAAGAGGUGUACAUGUAGAGUUAAAAAAUUCAGAAACAUUAUGAUAUAGGGAUGCGCGCGAACCAAGAUCGAGUUGUCAAGUCACGAGAAACUCCUAUGAAAACCCUAAAUAAUCAGAUCUGAAACAAAAUAGAAAAUUAAAAGAUUAGAACUUUGAAUUUCCAGAUCUGAAAUAAAAUCUCCAAAUCAGCAAAGAAUCAAAUGAGAAAAGAAAUAAGUGUUAAUAAGGGUUCUUGAAACCCUAAAGGAAAUUGCGAUUCUACCCAAUUGAACACCAAGAUAGUUUUCCCCAAAUUUCGGCAAUUUAAUUUCACCCAAAAAGAGUAUGGAUGUAUCGGCAAGAACCCUAGAAAUUGGGGAUUUUUGGCUGAUUCUUUAAGAUAGAAAAAAGGGCUGGAAACACAAUAAUAACAGCAAAUAAAUUAGAUAAAGAUUUAGCACAAGCAGAAAUAAAGAAAGAAUUGACAGCAAGAAAUUAAAAGAUAAGUCCUAAGAAGCCUUGAAAUCCCUAAAGAUCUCACAACUCCCUUCAAACGGCUUUAAUCUUCCCUCCAAUGAAUAUCAAUGGCAAGAAGAAGGUUGAAGACGGCUCCCACAAUCAAAAGAUUGUUAAAACAGCUUCUAAAGAAAACUCAAGAUAAAUUCUUGGAGAAAACCCCAAAGAAAAUUAUGCUCUCAAUAAAUCUGAAAAUUUUUAAUAUCAUAUAAGAAGUUAAUAACAAGGUGACUGGCCAAGCCUUUAUAUAGGCCUUAUAACUAGUCCUAAUCUAAUUAGAAAACUAAAAUAAAAAAACUCCUAAUUGUUUUAAUAUGGAAAUUCAGCCAAGGGUCUUUAUUUGGGACUUUUUGACUGAAUAUUUACAUAAAAAUUUAAACUAAAAUAAAUAAAUAAAUAAAUAAAAUAAAACUUUACAACUUGGGCCACUUUGACAAUUUGGCCUGAUUUUCAACUAAGUAUGGGUGGAUUUCUUGAUUGGGCUUGGAAUCUUCUUAUUGGGCCUUGCCUUCAAGAAUUUGGGCUUGUGAUCCAUCUCCUAUCGAAAUUGAAUCGUUGAUGCUCGUAACGGAGAUCCAAUGCGCUUUGGCUGCAAGAUUUGAUUUCUUGAACCAAGAUUCCCAAGAUUUGAAAUCUUGAUUUUCCCGUUCUUUCGUGUACGCAUCUAAGGCCUUGCUAACAAACUCCUGAAUGGUCUCAUUUAGUUUGGAGCGCAUUUGUCGGGCCUUUGAUCUCGUAUCAUUCCCCCCUUCCUCAAAAAGAUUCGACUUCGAAUCUGAAAAAUCAAAUGGGGACAAGUCGGCCACAUUAAAAGUAGAACUUACAUUGUACUCACCAAGUAGAUCAAUUUUAUAGGCAUUAUCGUUGAUCCUCUCGAGUACUUGGAAAGGCCCAUCGCCCCUUGGGUCCAACUUGGUCUUUCUUUUUGCAGGAAAUCGUUCUUUCCUCAUACGGACCCAAACCCAAUCUCCGGGUUCUAGGACAACCUGCUUGCGCCCCUUGUUUGCUUUGUUGGUGUUGGCAUCAUUUGUUUUGGCUAUUCGUUGCCUAGCCUUCUCAUGUAAGGAUUUCACCAACUCAGCUUUCUGUUCGCCAUCUAAAUUAACAAUGUGUUCAAGUGGUAAUGGCGCAAGAUCAAGUACUGUUAGUGGGUUAAAACCAUAAACAAGUUCAAAUGGAGAAUAACCAGUUGUAGAAUGAAUAGAUCUAUUAUAUGCAAAUUCAACAAACGGUAGGCAUUCUUCCCAAUUUCUAAUGUUCUUUCCCACAACAGAUCGUAAUAAAGUCCCUAAGAUCCGAUUAACUACUUCGGUUUGCCCAUCAGUUUGGGGGUGACAUGUAGUGGAAUAAAGUAAUUUAGUACCAAGCUUACCCCACAAUACCUUCCAAAAGUGGCUAAGGAAUUUGACAUCUCUAUCAGAAACAAUUGUUUUAGGGAUGCCAUGAAGUCUUACCACCUCUUUAAAGAAUAAGUCUGCCACAUGUGUAGGUAGCAUCAUCUGUUUUGUGACAAGAAAUAAAAUGUGCCAUCUUUGAAAACCUGUCAACAACAACAAAUAUACUAUCUCUUCCUUUCUUAUUUCGAGGCAAACCUAGAAUAAAAUCCAUGGAUAAAUCUACCCAAGGUGACGUAGGAAUCGGUAAAUGAGUGUAAAGGCCAUGAGGCAUUACCUUAGAUUUUGCUUGUUUGCAUGUAAUGCACUUGGAACAUACCUUUUCGACAUCCUUUUUCAUAUGUGGCCAAUGAAAGUAUUCUUGCAAGAUGUCUAGUGUUUUGGCCACUCCAAAAUGUCCCAUCAAACCCCCACUAUGGGCCUCAUGAAUCAAUAAGUCUCUCAUGGAACACUUUGGUAUGCAUAACCUAUUUAUACGAAAAAGAAAGCCAUCUACAAGAUAAAAUUUAUCGAAAGUAGUAUGUCCACAAUUCUUAUAGAUAUGGCCGAAAUCAGCAUCAUCAUCAUAUAGUUCCUUAAUAUGUUCGAACCCUAAGACUUUAGCAUUCAACGUAGUUAUUAAAGUAUAUCGUCUAGACAAAGCAUCUGCACCUACAUUAUCUUUACCUGUUUUAUAUUGUAUCACAUAAGGGAAUGUUUCAAUGAAUUCAACCCAUCGAGCAUGUCUUUUACUCAACUUACCUUGUCCCUUUAACCAUUUAAGAGAUUCGUGAUUUGUGUGUAUGACAAACUCAUUAGGCAGCAAAUAAUGUUGCCAUACUUGAAGUGCACGAACCAAUGCUAAUAGUUCUUUGUCAUAAGUCGAGUAGUUUAACUGUGCACCAUUCAAUUUGUCACUAAAAUAAGCAAUAGGUUGCUUAUCUUGCAUUAAAACGGCGCCAAUUCCAAUUCCUGAAGCAUCACACUCAAGUUCAAAAGUUUUAGCAAAAUCAGGUAAUUUAAGCAAAGGAGCAGAACAUAACUUAGCUUUUAGAGUUUGAAAGGCCUUUUCUUGGGUUUCACCCCAUUUGAAACCCACUGAUUUCUUUAUAACCUCUGUCAAUGGGGCAGCAAUAGUAGAGAAAUCUUUCACAAAUCGUCUAUAAAAACUAGCUAAACCAUGGAAAGAUCUCACCUCAGUUACCGAUUUAGGAGUCGGCCACUCCUUAAUUGCCUUGACUUUGUCCUCGUCGACAUGAAUACCUUGAGCACUAACUAUGAAACCUAAGAAUAUUAGUUUAUCACAACAGAAUGUGCAUUUAUCAAGGUUGGCAAAUAAUUUUUCAAUUCGCAGAAUAUCCAAAACGGUCCUAACAUGGAAAACAUGAUCAUCUAAUGACUUGGAGUAAAUUAAAAUAUCAUCAAAGUAAACUACUACAAAUUUACCCAAGUGAAGCCUUAAAACAUGAUUCAUUAAUCUCAUAAAUGUACUAGGUGCAUUAGUAAGGCCGAAAGGCAUAACUAACCAUUCAUACAAUCCAAAUUUUGUUUUAAAAGCUGUUUUCCAUUCAUCCCCUUCCGUCAUUCGAAUUUGAUGAUAACCGCUUUUUAAAUCAAUUUUUGUAAAUAUUAUUGAACCAUGUAAUUCAUCAACCAUAUCAUCUAGUCUAGGGAUUGGGUGUCGAUACUUUACCGUUAUCUUGUUGAUUGGGCGACAAUCAACGCACAUACGAAAUGUACCAUCUUUCUUUGGCACUAAUAAGACAGGAACAGCACAAGGACUUAGGCUCUCACGAAUGUACCCUUUGUCUAGUAAUUCCUCAACUUGCCUUUGCAAUUCCUUUGUCUCCUCAGGAUUGCAUCUAUAGGCUGGUCGAUUUGGGAUUGAAGCUCCGGGUACUAAGUCAAUUUGAUGUUCUAUCCCUCGUAAAGGUGGUAAACCUUUAGGGGCCUCACUAAAAACAUCCUCAUAAUCCUGCAAAAGAGAUUGAAACACACUAGGCAAAUUUUCGUUAAUGUUAGAUAAAGAUAAAUAAUUUUGCCUAAACCUCACAAGGAUACAAGGCUGUUUAUUAAGUAGGGCUCUCUUCACAUCUUUUUUUGUUGCCAAAAGAUUUUUUCCGCUCAUUUUACCACUAGAGGAUUCACUCACCUUUGGGCUUUUUAAAUUUUGACUUUUCCCACUACUAUUAGCCUCUUUUCUCUCUGUCUUUUGUACUUGCUCUUUCUCCCUUACCCCCUCACAAAAUUUUAUCAUCCUCAAUUGAUCUUUAUAUACAUCGGUAGGAUUUAAAGGAGCAAAAGUGAAUUUCUUACCUUUAAAUACAAGGGAGUAUCGAUUAAGUUUACCUUGGUGUGUAACAUCGCGAUCAAAUUGCCAAGGUCGUCCAAGGAGCAAAUGUGCCGCAUGCAUUGGGACUACAUCACACCAUACUUCAUCCUCAUAAUUGCCGAGUUUAAAAGUGACCAAGGACUGUUUCGUAACUUUAACUUCGGAACAUUCAUUAAGCCACUGAAGGUGAUAUGGCUUAGGGUGUUUGGUGCAAGGUAACUUUAAGGAAUCCACCAAAUAGCUGCUAACUACAUUCGAACAACUCCCACUAUCAAUAAUAAGUGAACAUAAGUUACCUUUUAUAAAACACCUAGAAUGGAAAAUAUUGGUCCUUCGGUUAUCACAAUCGUCUCCCAUUUGGAUGUUAAGGGUGCGGCAGACUACCAUCUUAUUGUUUUUUCUCUUUUUUGAAAUACCUGUAAAACAAAUACUCAACACUCAAAAGAAAAAUUAGCAAACCUCACCGUUAGUCACUCAAAAAGAAAAAUCAAAUUCUCAAUGAGGUAGAAUUCAGUCUUGUGAGUUCUUUAGUAGAGUUUAUAUCAACCAAUUAGAGAGUGUAUGAACCAAACUACCAAAGAAUCCUAAUUUGCACUAAGAUGCCAAAAAACUAACGAGACACCAAUUGAUUCGUGUUGCACCGAGGAAGAAUUGUGCACACGUUUAAAUCCUACUAACACAAGAAACAAGAAGGUGUUAUAUAUUGUAAAGGGAGAAUAAAAGGCAAACAAAUGAAAACCUACAGCUAAGAAUUAAUAAAAAUUGCUGAAACUAGAAAACCCGAAAAAAACUACGGAGUAACUUGACAACUUCGUUCGAGGUGUUCCCAAUCUCCAAAAAUCACGAAAUUAAAUCUGGAAUGUCCUUAUAUAUUGAAUUUUUGAUCUGGAAGGUUUGGGCACCAAAUUCAACCCGCUGAAUCUUUUUUUUAAUUUUUUAUUGGAUUUCAUAUUUUUUCAAUUUUUUGACUUUUUCAACUGAUUUUUUUGCGGGAAAUAUUUUUUUAUAUUCAAUAACAGUGCCACAAAUAUGUAUGUAAAAUUUUAGAUCAAUCAAAAAACGUUUACCCACUCAAAUGAAUUUUUUUUUGAAAAUUUUUCUGGGUAAAAUUGCUGUUUGUGCUUUAAAAAAUUGAGAUCAGUUUAGAAAUCAUCCAAGAACACCCAAAACGCCCAAAAUCUGAUACCAAAUGAUAUAGGGAUGCGCACGGACCAAGAUCGAGUUGUCAAGUCACGAGAAACUCCUAUGAAAACCCUAAAUAAUCAAAUCUGAAACAAAACAGAAAAUUAAAAUAUUAGAACUUUGAAUUUCCAGAUCUGAAAUAAAAUCCCCAAAUCAGCAAAGAAUCAAAUGAGAAAAGAAAUAAGUGUUAAUAAGGGUUCUUGAAACCCUAAAGGAGAUUGCGAUUCUGCCCAAUUGAACACCAAGAUAGUUUUCCCCAAAUUUCGGCAAUUUAAUUUCACCCAAAAAGAGAAUGGAUGUAUCGGCAAGAACCCUAGAAAUUGGGGAUUUUUGGCUGAUUCUUUAAGAUAGAAAAAAGGGCUGGAAACACAAUAAGAACAGCAAAUAAAUUAGAUAAAGAUUCGGCACAAGCAGAAAUAAAGAAAGAAUUGACAGCAAGAAAUUAAAAGAUAAGUCCUAAGAAGCCUUGAAAUCCCUAAAGAUCUCACAACUCCCUUCAAACGGCUUUAAUCUUCCCUCCAAUGAAUAUCAAUGGCAAAAAAAUGGUUGAAGACGGCUCCCACAAUCAAAAGAUUGUUAAAACAGCUUCUAAAGAAAACUCAAGAUAGAAUUCUUGGAGAAAAACCCCAAAGAAAAUUCUGCUCUCAAUAAAUCUGGAAAUUUUUAAUAUCAUAUAAGAAGUUAAUAACAAGGUGACUGGCCAAGCCUUUAUAUAGGCCUUAUAACUAGUCCUAAUCUAAUUAGAAAACUAAAAUAAAAAAAACUCCUAAUUGUUUUAAUAUGGAAAUUCAGCCAAGGGUCUUUAUUUGGGACUCUUUGACUGAAUAUUUACAUAAAAAUUUAAACUAAAAUAAAUAAAUAAAUAAAUAAAAUAAAACUUUACAACUUGGGCCACUUUGACAAUUUGGCCUGAUUUUCAACUAAGUAUGGGUGGAUUUCUUGAUUGGGCUUGGAAUCUUCUUAUUGGGCCUUGCCUUCAAGAAUUUGGGCUUGUGAUCCAUCUCCUAUCGAAAUUGAAUCGUUGAUGCUCGUAACGGAGAUCCAAUGCGCUUUGACUGCAAGAUUUGAUUUCUUGAACCAAGAUUCCCAAGAUUUGAAAUCUUGAUUUUCCCGUUCUUUCGUGUACGCAUCUAAGGCCUUGCUAACAAACUCCUGAAUGGUCCCAUUUAGUUUGGAGCGCAUUUGUCGGGCCUUUGAUCUCGUAUCACAUUAUCACUCCGAAUGACCUUAAUAUCAGCUAAAAAUUAUGUUUUUGCAAAGGCAACAAAUUGCUUAAGAGUGAUAGAAGCAUCACUCUUGGUUCGUAAAAGGUAUACCCAAGUCAUUCGAGUGAAAUCAUCAACUAUAGUGAGGAAAAACAAUAACCAGUAUGAGUUGAGAUUCUAUAAGGUCCCCAUAGGUCAAUAUAAAUUAAAGCAAAAGUAUUAGUGGUUUGAGUGUGACUACGAGGAAAGGGGAAUUUAGUUUGUUUAGCUAGUGGACAAACAAAAUAAAAAGAUAAUUCAUUAAGAUCAUGUAAAACAGAUUUUAAUUGAACAUUUUUUUUCAUUAUGGAAACAGAGGUGUGACCAAGGCGAGCAUGCCAUACAUGUGGAUCAUUAUGUAAAGCCAUAAAAGAAGUAAAAAUGGGCAAAGAAAUAUUGGUAGAUUUGUGAGGAUGAACAAGACUGGAAGAGAACUUAUAUGGGUGAAAGUAAUAGAGACCAGCAUGUUCUUUACCAAUCCCCAACAUCCGUCCACUGCAAAAGUCCUGUAAAAGAAAAAGGAAGGGUAAAAAGAGACAAACAAUUGAGGCCUUUAGUAAGUUGAGAAACAGAAAGUAAAUUAUAAUUAAAAUCAGGUAUGUCUAAAACAUUAGUUACUUAUAAGUGGGGGAAAGGAUAUGAUGGCCAAUAUGAGUAACAGAGGCUGGUUUCCCAUUAGGUAAUUGAACACAAGAGCUGUUAGGAGCAAGAGCAACAGAAGAAUUCAAGCAUUGAAAAUCAAAUGUCAUAUGGUUGGUGGAUCCUAUGUCAAGGAUCCAGCCAGACGAUGUAAAGGAAGAGAGUGUACCAGCCAUGUAAACAGUUGUAGAAAUAGAUGAAUCCUUCUACAAAAUAGUCAGAAGUUAUUGUACUGUUGCGAUGUUAAAGUAGGAGUAGAUGGAGCUUGAAUAGAGAAUGGAAUCACAGGUUUCAACUGAAUCAAUCGAAGAGGUAACAUUAGUAGCAACUGAUUUCUUGCGAGUGCACUUAAAAUCAGGAGGGAAAUAAAUCAUUUUAUAACAGUUUUCAUGUUUAUGGCCCCAGACAUGACAGUGAUCACAAGUGCCAUUAAAUCUGCGCUUGAAGCUACCAGUGGUAGUAGUCGAUGAGUAAAGGGCAGUAGGCUCAGAUGCAGAAAGCAGUGGAAAGGAGAUUUGAUGUUGAGAUUCUUCCUGAACAAGCAUGGAUUAGGUUUGAUUGACUGAGGGCAGCAGUUGCAUAAGUAAUAUUUGACUACGCACAGCAGAAUAGGAAUCAUUGAGGCCCAUUAAAAAUUGAAAGAGUCGUUGUUGAAGAAAAGAGGCAGAUGUGGUUCAAGCAUUUUCACGAUCACAUGGAAAGUAAGGCACUAAAACAUCAUACUCAUCCCAUAAAGGGCAGAGCUGUGUGAAAUACGUGAAGAUGGAAGAAGUACGUUGAGUGUGAGAAAAAAUAGUGUGAUGGAGAUAAUAAAUUCUGGACCCAUCAACUUUGCUGUAGCAUUCUUGAAGAUCCUUCCAAAUAAGGCAGGCACUCGAAGCGAACAAUACCAACUGAAAGUUCUUGGAAAACGGUGUUGAGGAUCCAAGAGAGGACAAUAACAUUGCCACGGUUCCAUUGAAGAUGAAGAUCAACUGGAAGAUCAACCCGUGAGCAAGUGCCAUCAACAAAUCCAAGUUUGUUUUUGGCAAGAAGAGUAAUUUUCAUUGAUCGACUCCAUAUAUUAUAAUUCUCAAAGCCAAGAAGCUGAUGAGAAACCAGUAGAGUGCUAGGAGUAUCAGAGGGGCGAAGAUAAAGAUGGUGAUGAAAGUCAAUGACAGGAGAAGAAGAUUAUGAAAAAAAAAAGGAAACCAAGAAAAAAUUAAACCUGGCUCUAAUACCAUGUUAAGAUAUCGAUUGAAAAGAUAAGAGAAAAUAAAAUGCUUCAAGUUUGUCAUUCUUGCUGCUACAGCUUGAUUGUAAUAUGGUCUUCAUGUGGUUUGAUAUGACCCUCAUGAUGAGUUUUCAAUGAUGGAUAAUAUAUGGCUAUUUGUAUAUCAUAAUUUUAAUAUUAUACAUUCACAUAUUUUUAUAUGACCGUAAUUUAAAUCAUAUAUAAGUGACUAAAUAUGUAGUUUACCUAUAAUUAAUUUAACUUUGCUUAUUUUUCUAAAAAAAAUAUUAAUUUUAUUUAAUAGAUAAGAUUUAUUUCUAUUUCUUUUACUGCUAUAUUAUAAUUAUAUUUUUUGCAUGAAAAAAAAUAGUUUUCUUAAUGAAAAUAAUCUUUUACAAUUUUACUGAACCAUGGAAUUUCUAUCUUUGAUUAUUAGAAUGCUUUAAAUAUCUAUUUGUCAUACUUCAAGAGUUCUUUUCACUUAGGUUCUUUUAAUAAUUUAACAUUAAAUUCAUAUAUCUAAUAUAUUAUAUAUAAAAAAUUGUUUUAUAUUAAACUUAUACUGUUUGAACUGAAGAAUAAAGAAUAUUAAUUUAUAAUAUAUUUAUUUUUAAAACUUUCUAUAAGUACUUGAUUAGAAUUUUUUAUCAUGAUAAUAUUUGAAUUAUAGAAUUAAUUUGUAUAAGUUAAUUAUGUUUAUUAUUUUGGGUUAAUUAUAUGAAAUUGCUGACAUAUUUGAAGGUAAGGAAAAUUUUUGUGGCUAAAAUAGUGGGCACAACUUGAGGCACUGUUUCAUUAAAUUACUUAUCUAUUUACAGAGCUGAACUACCUAUUUUGAAAAUAAUUGGACAAGUUAGAGUCCAAAACAUGAAGGCCAAUUGAAGACUUGAAGAUUGAUUUUUGCGGAUCAAGUAAACUCACUUUCUAUAUUUUAAGACAUUUGAUUACAUCAAGACUCUUAUAAAAUUAUUAUUCUAUAUUGAUUUGUAGCUUUAUUUUAUAGAAAAGAGAUUAAACUAUGACUCUUAUGUAAGCUAAGCUUAAGUGAUAUAUAAACUUAAGUUUUGUCUAGGUUAAGUGGACCAAGAAAUACUAAGAGAUAGAAAGAGCACAAAUUUAUUCAAGUUAGGAAUGCUUUAUGUGUGCAUUGUUUUUGUAAGAGUCUCUUGAGUUGUAAAACUAAGUUUUCGAGGGGGAAGUUUAGUAGAAGAGUGAUCUAGUCUUUGUACAAUGAUAAGAUAGUUAAAUUGAUGAGAAUUAAACCGAAUUAAGACUUAAAUCAUUGGUUGUACUUUGAGAAAGAUAUGAAUCAUUGCUCUGGAUAAUAUCUCACAUAUAUAGACUAGGGUUGAACUGUAUAAACAAUCUUAAUGUUCAUUUUUACUUUUGUACACGUUCUUUAUUUCGUGGUUAAAACUAUUAUGACAGUUCCAAACAUUAUUUUAACCAUAAUUUUUAUUUGCAAAGCAAGUACCCAAGGCUCACGUAAUAUUAAAACUAAUUUAUCAAAUUUCAAAGUUACCUCGCACUUUUCACACAUUCCCUUAGUACUUUUCACACAUUGGUUGAUAGAUUUUUUUAGAAGGUUGGUAGAAUGCAAUAAAUAUUCACUAAUAUUAUUUGCAUAACAUUAUUUACGUGGAAACAAAAAUAUAAAUUCUUUUUCAUCAACUUAAUGCAUUGACAGCAGAAGUGCUUAUGUGUCAAGUUAGAUUCAUGAAUGGUACUAGUACAAUAUUAAUCGUUUAACUCUAUAAGAAAUAUGAAUUUUAAAUAUCGUUAAAGUUUAUUUAUAUUUAUAAUUAAUUAAUGGGUAAAUUAUAAAUUUAGUAAUUUAUGUAUUGUUUAAAUUAUAAUUUAAUCACUAAACUUUAAAAAGUUGCAAUCUAAUUAUUAAUAUUAUCAAUUUAUUAUAGUUUGAUCGUUAAGCUAUUAAUUUUCAUUAAUGAUAUAAUGACAAGAUCAUAGAUAAAUCCAAAUUAUUUUUAAUUAAGGCCGAAAUUUAAUUAUAAUUUUUUCAUAAAUCAAAAUAUAAAUUUAUUAUAUAUUAAUUUAUAAUUUCAUAAUUUUUAAAAAAAUAAAUAUAAAUUACUUCAUUUCUAUAAUAUCAAAAUACAAUUUUACUAUAUAUUAAUUUAUAAUUCUUUAUUUUUGUUAGAGUGAAUAACAUCCGUUCACACUAGUAUUAGAGUGAAUAACAUCCGCUCACACUAGCUAUUAAAUGUUGUCCCCUUAUUGACGACAAAAGAAAGAAAAAAAAUCUCAUUCAUUUUAAUAACUUUCCUUGACUUGACAUGUGUAAGCGAAUAUUUUUUAACGUAUGUUUGACGUUAAAUUAAUUAUUUAAAAUUUAAUUUUUUUAUACUUUUCGAGUAUAUAAUUUUAUAGAUACCUUCGUGUAUGUCACGUUCAUCUCAUUCAUUUUAAUAAUUUUCCUUGACACAUGUUAACUAAUAUUUUUUUUCCUUUCUUAUAAAAUAACUUCUAUGAUAUUAACGUAUCUUUGAUGUUAAAUCAAUUGUUUGGAGUAUAGUUUUUCUAUACUUUUCAUAAUUAAUAUUUAAAGAGUAUAUAUAUUUUUAUAGAUACCUUCAUAUAUGUAUGUCACGUUUAUCUCAUUCAUUUUAAUAUUUUUUUUUGACUUGACACGUGUAUGUUUGACGUUAAAUCAAUUAUUUAAAAUUUAGUAUCCUUAUAUUUUUUAUAAUUUAUGUUUAAAGAGUAUAUAUAUUUUUAUAGAUACCUUCGUAUAUGUAUGUCAUGCUCAUCUCAUUCAUUUUAAUAAUUUUCGUUGGCUUUAUAAAACAAUUUCUAUGAUAUUAACGUGUGCUUGACGUUAAAUCAAUUAUUUGAAAUUUAGUUUUUUUUUAUACUUUUCAUAAUUUAUGUUUAAAGAGUAUAUAUUAAUUUUAUAGAAUAUGUAUACCACGUUCAUCUCAUUCAUUUUAAUAAUUUUUCUUGGCUUAACACGUGUAAGCCAAUAUUUUUUCCCUUCUUAUAAAACAACUUCUAUGAUAUUAACGUAUGUUUGACAUUAAAUCAAUUAUUUGUAAUUUAGUUUCCCUAUACUUUUCAUAAUUCACGUUUAAAGAGUAUAUAUUUUUUAUAGACACCUUCAUUUAUGUAUGUAGUGUUCAUCUCUUGUUUAUUACUAGAUUAUGUAAUACCUACAUUUUGUGAAAAAAAAAAUGAAACAAAUAUAUUUAUUAAAAGUUCAUACAAAAAUCGAACGGUGCUUUGAUAUAAAUGGUAAACUUAAUUGUUUCAGGUUUAUUGUGUUAUGAGUAUAAAUUUUAUUAUGUCUAAAUUUUUAUUUAUUUACAAAUGUAAAAAGGAAAAAAAAACACUUUCACUAUAGUAUAACUUAUUUUGUGCAUAAAUGAGUACAUUGGUAAUUUUCUAAUUAAGUUGGUGCAAUGAUUCAAUUUAAUUUUUUGCAUCAAUAUCGUAAUAUUAUUCUUCAACUUAGUUUGCAUAAUUUAUUAUAAUAAUUUAAUUUAGAGAAAAAAUGCUAUCUUAUUUUUGUUUUAUUUUUUAUGUUAAAAGUUUUAUAAAUUGUGAUAAAUUAAUAAUUCAUUAUACAUAUUUUUUUUAUUUUCAUAUAUUUAUAUAUAUAUAUAUAUAUGAGACAUUAAUAUAAAUAUCUGUUGAGAAUUUCAAUAGCAGUAUGAAUUGAUGUGAAAAGGUGAAAGAAUAAGAAAUUUGAUAUCAGUUUUUUGUUAAUAAAAACUGUAUAUAAAAUUACAACUGAUAUACAUUGAUAUACUAACUAUCAGCUCCUAACUAACUAACUGAUGAUUAUCUCUUCAACAACUAACUGAUGGUUAUCUCUUUGACACUUCCCUUCAAGUUGUAGGGCGAUAGAGAUCCUUGACCCCCAACUUGGAUAUCAAAUAUUCAAGUUACUAGACUCCAAGUGCCUUAGUCAACACAUCUGCAAGUUGUUCAUUAGUGCACACAUGUUGUGUCCGAACCAAUCCGUCUUGUACUUUUUUAUCGUACAAAGUGACAGUCAACUUCUAUAUGCUUGGCUCACUCAUGGAAUACAGGAUUUGCUACAAUUCGAAGUGCUGCUUGACUGCCAAAAAGUAACAACGCUGGAUCAAGUUUAUCAAGACAUAUUUCUUUUAACAACCCAUCCAGCCAUAUUAUGUCCACAAUUGUCAAUGAAAUGUGUACAGACCAAUUUUACCCAGCCCAUUUCCAGCAGACCCAAAACCCAAUACCCACCUAAACCUAACCCAAAAUCAACCCAGUACACUUAAAACAAACCCAAACCAAUUAAACCUACCCAAACCCAAAUUAUAGGCCCAUAAUUACACCCUAGCCCCUAACCUAGGCGUCGCACAUCCCUUCAGUCGCCUACCCUCUGCGCGUCGAUGCCACCACCUGCCCACUGCUCCGCCCUACCUACUCUGCCACCUGCUCUAUCAAGGCCUACACGCAAGCAAAGAAGGACAAAACAGUAGUAGAAACAAUAGAAAAUUGUAAAAUGGCGAUUUAAAAGCCAUUCAAAACAGAUCUAAAGGGGGUAUUAUUUUUCGGUAUAAAACCGAUUGAAAAACCAUUGUAAAAAAAGAAAUCGAUCUUGUUUUGUAAAAAAAGGGGCUCCUUUUUUCUUUUCAUGAACAUUAGAGGAAAUUAAACAGAAAGAGAUUUCUCAAAUGCUUUUUAGGUUUGCUUUUAUUUUCUGUCCUUUUUUGUGUUUUUCUUUUACUCCAUACCAAAUAAUAAGUAAUAAAAUAACAAAGUAAAAAAGGGGAGAAAGAAAACCUUACCUGCUCCGCGCCGGAGGAGAAGGAAGGCGAGUGGUUUCGCUCCCAUUUUUUGGCUUUUGGGCUCUCCUUUCACGAGAUUCAGCCUUGAAUCCGUGUUCUAGAGGCCACCGGCUUCAAAAAGGGACCGGAAAGGCUUGAUUUUGUGCCUCCGGCUGCCGCUCGCGGUGGCGCUACGGCGGAGGUGCGCCGGAGCUUGGCCGGAUGGGGGAGAGGAAACAUUGAGAGGGUUUUUGUUGUUUUUUUGGAAGAAAGGUUUAAAAUGAGAUUUUCUAAAAUCUUUUUGGCUUUUAUAACAAAAUGAAACGGCGCCGUUUUAGUAAAGGGCCGACCCGCGAUCCGACCAGCUCCAAGGCUAGGGUCCGCGUGUUUCUAUUGGAAGGGCUAACUGCAACUUUAGCCCUUCCGCUUUUUAACAGUUUUACAAUCAACUACUUGUGUUUUUUAAAAAAUUUUCCCCGUAAAUUUUUUGUGAUUACAUUUUGGUCCCUGUUGGAACGACGUCAUUUUCGGGGGAAAGGUUAAAUUACCCUUUCAGUCCCUUCAUGUUGCAAGCGUGUUCAAAUUAGUAUCUCCCCUUUAUUUUAUUUGUGAUUGAACCCCAAAUUUUGUUUUAAAUUUUUAAUUUAGUCCUUUUGUUAUUUUAUUAUUAUUAUUAUUAUUAUUAUUAUUAUUAUUAUUAUUAUUAUUAUCUAUAUUAUUGUUACUUAUCAUAUUAUUAUUAUUACAUAAUAGCUUAUAUAUAUACAUAUAUACUUUUGCAUACCUUUUAUAGUUUUUAUAUACUUGCAUGUACAUAUACAUAUUUUUUAUAUUUUAUAACUUAAAACUAGUUCCAUGCAUGUGUAUAUUUCUUUUUUUUUAAUACUAAAUAUAUACGCAUAUGUUUUUAUUUUGUUUUAUAACUUAAAACUAUAUAUAUACAUACAUAUAUUCUUUUUAUAUAUUUUAUAGUUUUAAAAUAUACGCAUGCAUCUAUAUAUUUUUAUAAUACAUAUGUACAUAUAUUUUAUAAUUUAUAUAUAUACAUAUAUUUUUGUAAUUUUAAAAUGUACAUAUAAACACACAUACUUCUAUAAUUCAUUUAUUUAUUUAUUUAUUAAUUUAUUUCUGUGUUUCUUUCUUGUAUCUUUGUUUUACCUGAUGUUUAUUUGUAUAUUUACGUAUAUCUUUGUUGUUUUGCUUUUUAGAUUUUAUGAUUUCCACGUACAUAUAUAUACAUAUUUAUACUUUAGUAUUUUUAUAAUUUUGUUCAUGUUCAUUUUGAUUAUUUAUUCACAUCUUUAUUAUUAUUUUAAUCUAAUUCGUUCACGUAUCUGUUAUUCUGCAUGUCGUUAAUUUAUCUUUUUAUUCAUUCAUUUUAUUACUGCUGCUCGCAUUAUUUUUAUUUGCAUCAUCAUAAUUACUAUUUUUUCAUAUAUAGUUUUUACUCAAAUUUUCCAAAAAUGAAAUUUUAAAAAUAUAAGUAAUAUUUGGUAUUUUGGAUCUUCGAGAGAAUCGAGCCCUAACGUAUUGGGUUCCGACUUUCUUCGUUGAAUUUAAAUAAUCGAGAUUACUCUUUUAAAAAUGAUAAAAAGCUCGUUAUCAAGAAUUCAAUACGUUGUGUCCUAACGCAUUGGAUGUGACAUGUUGUUUUCUCGAGACGAAGAUUUUUCGAAAUAAAUGCAAUAUUCAAUGUUUAAUAUUUUGAGAAAUUGUGCCCUAACGUAUUGGGUUGCGAUUUCUUCUUUUGAUUUAAACAAUUGAAUAUUCUUUUAAACUUUAUUACACGAAUCUUUUCAAACUCAAGUUUUAAAUAAUAUCGAGAAUUAAAAAAGGAUUGUGUCCUAACUUUCUGGUCGUGAUCCUUUUUUAAAUCCAAGAUAGUUAAAUAUCUUUUAAAUAAGCAUUUUUCAUUCGCGUAUCAGGAAUUCGAGACAUUAUGUCCUAACUUACUGGAUAUGAUGCUUUCUUUCUCGAUUAACGUGGAAUGUGCUCCUUUUUCCCAAAAUUUUCAACAUUUUAAUACAAGGAUCUUAUUUUUAAAUUUUUUUUAAAGUUUUCAAGUUUUUGACACUAAGACAUUAAGUAAUCAACUAUGUACCAAUUUUGGGCGUAUCGAGGGUGCCAAUCCUUCCUCGUGCGUAACCGACUCCCCAACCCAUUUUUCUGAAUUUCGUGGACCAAACUUGCUGUUUUAAUAAAAUCAAACCGUUUAUUAAAAACAACCACUUUUCGAGGUAUCCAAUCACACCUCAUAAAAACGCUGGAAUACAGUCAACUUCUAUAUGCUUGGCUCACUCAUGGAAUACAGGAUUUGCUACAAUUCGAAGUGCUGCUUGACUGCCAAAAAGUAACAACGCUGGAUCAAGUUUAUCAAGACAUAUUUCUUUUAACAACCCAUCCAGCCAUAUUAUGUCCACAAUUGUCAAUGAAAUGUGUACAGACCAAUUUUACCCAGCCCAUUUCCAGCAGACCCAAAACCCAAUACCCACCUAAACCUAACCCAAAAUCAACCCAGUACACUUAAAACAAACCCAAACCAAUUAAACCUACCCAAACCCAAAUUAUAGGCCCAUAAUUACACCCUAGCCCCUAACCUAGGCGUCGCACAUCCCUUCAGUCGCCUACCCUCUGCGCGCCGAUGCCACCACCUGUCCACUGCUUCGCCCCACCUACUCCGCCACCUGCUCUAUCAAGGCCUACACGCAAGCAAAGAAGGACAAAACAGUAGUAGAAAAAUAGAAAAUUGUAAAAUGGCGAUUUAAAAGCCAUUCAAAACAGAUCUAAAGGGGUAUUAUUUUUCGGUAUAAAACCGAUUGAAAAACCAUUGCAAAAAAAGAAACCGAUCUUGUUUUGUAAAAAAAGGGGCUCCUUUUUUCUUUUCAUGAACAUUAGAGGAAAUUAAACAGAAAGAGAUUUCUCAAAUGCUUUUUAGGUUUGCUUUUAUUUUCUGUCUUUUUUUGUGUUUUUCUUUUACUCCAUACCAAAUAAUAAGUAAUAAAAUAACAAAGUAAAAAAGGGGAGAACGAAAACCUUACCAGCUCCGCGCCGGAGGAGAAGGAAGGUGAGCAGUUUCGCUCCCAUUUUUUGGCUUUUGGGCUCUCCUUUCACGAGAUUCAGCCUUGAAUCCGUGUUCUAGAGGCCACCGGCUUCAAAAAGGGACUGGAAAGGCUUGAUUUUGUGCCUCCGGCCGCCGCUCGCGGUGGCGCUACGGCGGAGGUGCGCCGGAGCUUGGCCGGAUGGGGGAGAGGAAACAUUGAGAGGGUUUUUGUUGUUUUUUUUUGGAAGAAAGGAUUAAAAUGAGAUUUUCUAAAAUCUUUUUUACUUUUAUAACAAAAUGAAAUGGCGCCGUUUUAGUAAAGGGCCGACCCGCGAUCCGACCAGCUCCAAGGCUAGGGUUCGCGUAUUUCUAUUGGAAGGGCUAACUACAACUUUAGCCCUUCCGCUUUUUAACAGUUUUACAAUCAAGUACUUGUGUUUUUUAAAAAAUUUUCCCCGUAAAUUUUUUGCGAUUACAUUUUGGUCCCUGUUGGAACGACGUCAUUUUCGGGGGAAAGGUUAAAUUACCCUUUCAGUCCCUUCAUGUUGCGCGCGUGUUCAAAUUAGUCCCUCCCCUUUAUUUUAUUUGUGAUUGAACCCCUAAUUUUGUUUUAAAAUUUUAAUUUAGUCCUUUUGUUAUUUUAUUAUUAUUAUUAUUAUUAUUAUUAUUAUUAUUAUUAUUAUCAUCAUAUUAUUAUUAUUACAUAAUAGCUUAUAUAUAUAUACAUAUAUACUUUUGCAUACCUUUUAUAGUUUUUAUAUACUUGCAUGUACAUAUACAUAUUUUUUAUAUUUUAUAACUUAAAACUAGUUCCAUGCAUGUGUAUAUUUCUUUUUUUUUAAUACUAAAUAUAUACGCAUAUGUUUUUAUUUUGUUUUAUAACUUAAAACUAUAUAUAUACAUACAUAUAUUCUUUUUAUAUAUUUUAUAGUUUUAAAAUAUACGCAUGCAUCUAUAUAUUUUUAUAAUACAUAUGUACAUAUAUUUUAUAAUUUAUAUAUAUACAUAUAUUUUUGUAAUUUUAAAAUGUACAUAUAAACACACAUACUUCUAUAAUUCAUUCAUUUAUUUAUUUAUUUAUUUAUUUAUUUAUUUCUGUGUUUCUUUCUUGUAUCUUUGUUUUACCUGAUGUUUAUUUGUAUAUUUACAUAUAUCUUUGUUGUUUUGCUUUUUAGAUUUUAUGAUUUCCACGUACAUAUAUAUACAUAUUUAUACUUUAGUAUUUUUAUAAUUUUGUUCAUGUUCAUUUUGAUUAUUUAUUCACAUUUUUAUUAUUAUUUUAAUCUAAUUCGUUCACGUAUCUGUUAUUCUGCAUGUCGUUAAUUUAUCUUUUUAUUCAUUCAUUUUAUUACUGCUGCUCGCAUUAUUUUUAUUUGCAUCAUCAUAAUUACUAUUUUGUCAUAUAUAGUUUUUACUCAAAUUUGCCAAAAAUGAAAUUUUAAAAAUAUAAGUAAUAUUCGGUAUUUUGGAUCUUCGAGAGAAUCGAGCCCUAACGUAUUGGGUUCCGACUUUCUUCGUUGAAUUUAAAUAAUCGAGAUUACUCUUUUAAAAAUGAUAAAAAGCUCGUUAUCGAGAAUUCAAUACGUUGUGUCCUAACGCAUUGGAUGUGACAUGUUGUUUUCUCGAGACGAAGAUUUUUCGAAAUAAAUGCAAUAUUCAAUGUUUAAUAUUUUGAGAAAUUGUGCCCUAACGUAUUGGGUUGCUAUUUCUUCAUUUGAUUUAAACAAUUGAAUAUUGUUUUAAACUUUAUUACACGAAUCUUUUCAAACUCAAGUUUUAAACGAUAUCGAGAAUUAAAAAAGGAUCGUGUCCUAACUUACUAGUCGUGAUCCCUUUUUUAAUCCAAGAUAGUUAAAUAUCUUUUAAAUAAGCAUUUUUCAUUCGCGUAUCAGGAAUUCGAGACAUUAUGUCCUAACUUACUGGAUAUGAUGCUUUCUUUCUCGAUUAACGUGGAAUGUGCUCCCUUUUCCCAAAAUUUUCAACAUUUUAAUACAAGGAUCUUAUUUUUAAAUUUUUUUAAAGUUUUCAAGUUUUUGACACUAAGACAUUAAGUAAUCAACUAGGUACCAAUUUUGGGCGUAUCGAGGGUGCCAAUCCUUCCUCAUGCGUAACCGACUCCCGAACCCGUUUUUCUAAAUUUCGUGGACCAAACUUGUUGUUUUAAUAAAAUCAAACCGUUUAUUAAAAGUAACCACUUUUCGAGGUGAUCCAAUCACACCUCAUAAAAAAGGAUUGGUGGCAACUCCCGUUUUACUCGUUUUCGUCAAAACCCAAGUCGACCCCAUUUUCAUCCAAAAAAUGGUGUCAACAGCUUGGCGACUCCACUAGGGACUUUAAAUAAGAGAGUCAAGUCACGAGUUGAUUAUUUCUUGUCUUUUUGUCAAAAGUUGAAAAUUUGAUUUAAAUAUACGAUCCUCUUAUUACAUUUUGUUUGUUUUUAGUUAUAGUUUUCAUGAUGUUUUGUAUUUUAAAUUUUUAUAUCUCUGCGCAUUGCAUUGCAUGACCGUUGGUCACACCUUUUUAAGUGGGAGUGAGAAGCUAGUCCUUCGUGAGGUUUUCACCUCCGUGUAGGAUAGUGGAUCGCUUUCGAGAUACAUCCGUACCUAUGUCUUCGUGAGAUUUUCAUCUCCGUGCAGCCAUAGGGAAAUGUAUUCCCCUGAACCGAACUCGGUCUAUAUGAGCAUAUAAUGGGUGAGGAUCGAGGAAUCUGUUGGUUCGGGUACCCUUACUUUAGAGCCAAACCUCAUGUAGUGAACCUUAGGAGCCCACCCUAGGUAGAACCACUUCAAACCCCUAGUAGUCACCCGACUAGGUGUUCUAUUUAUUCUUGCUUGCUUUUGUUUCAUACUAACCUAUUUUCCUUUUUUGAUGAUUGCAUUGCAUUUUCAUCAUAAAAAGAGGUGUUUAUUAACGUUCGGUUGUUAAAUAGAGAGCUUGUCAUAAGAAAAUGGGUCAUUUGAUAAAGUGGAAAAUAAUAUGGUUGCCCGAAUAUGUUCUGAGAAAACACAACAAGAGAAAGAUGAUAGUUUAAUAGAAGACAACACAACUAUUGCUUUGUUGCCCCGAGGAUUCAAGGUGAUAAAGAUUAUUUGAGAGCCGCUGAACUUUCUUAAAGAGAAGCCAAUGAGCAUCCCGAGGAUGAGCGAGCAACGAGCCGAGGUCGGAUCAAGCAAAAAAGAGAUAAAAGAGACAUCCCAUUUGAAGAGUUCGUGAAAUUCAUCUUAACGCGCGAAUGAAGAAAAGGAUCGUUGUCUUGGAAUAUAAGGGCAAGGCCGUAUAUAUAUCCAUUUUAUGUAAAGAAAUUUGUUUUCUAGUAAAGUUGUUCUAGUAAGAAUUGAACCAAGAAUCGACGUCUCUUUUUGCAUUCAUGCAUUUGCAUUACAUGACAUCAUAUGCAUUAACAACCAUUAAAAGACCCUAAUUGAGUAAAAUUACUUCAGAAAAUCUAGAAAAUUAACAUUCUUGUGGUACCCGAAGAAAAACAUGGACCAAAGAUUAAAAAACUUGAACGAUUCCAAAAGGGGAGGCAAGACCAACUACAACUGCAAAUACAAGAGCGGUAAGCUAAGGUCUAGCAAGAUAGAGUUUUGUGAAGGGGUUAAAAAAUGUUCAUAUCAAUGUCAUACAUGAAGACAACUGAAAAUGGACCUUGUUAGAUAUUCGCCCUUAUAAAAUUGGGAGUGUUCUAAAUAAUCGGACUGCAGAAGAAAUCUCUGUAAUAUUUAAAGCUUACUCAGAGUGAUAUUCAAAACACACUUGUUACUUUUAGCCUAAAGGCAACAAGAAGUCUUUUGUGAAAUAGGCUCAUGUUUGAACGUCAUUAUUUUAAUGGAAUGCAUCUUUGCAAUAUUUUGAACCAAUAUUCUUUUAUUUCUUGAAUGAUUAUUUUUAUUCUUUUAUUCUUUCAUCCAAAUCAUUCUUUCAUUCAUUCAUAAUCAUAUUGUAAUAACUUCAUAUAUUCUUUGUAUAUUCUUUUGUACCGACAAUAGGUCCCUGGAUAUCAAAGGCAUGAAUGACACUGCUAUAGACUUAGAAUCUCCUUUGAGCGAGACAUGUGUUUAGAGGGAUCUCACGACUUUGAAGAUGACAUAGAUUGUAUCCUAUCCCCGGACUUGUUGAGGAUGGUAGAACAAGAGGAUAAACAGAUCCUACCUCUCAAGGAAUCAUUAGAAAUUGUGAGCUUGGUGAAGACUAGAAUUGACCUGACCAGAGAGAUGAAGCAAGACCUUGUUGAGUUACCUCUAGAGUUCAAAGAUGUCUUUGUAUGAUCAUACCAGGGUAUGCCUCGAUUCUUAUAAUAAAACCUACACAACAGCACGAUGUCAGAAAUUUACAGUGCGAACGAUACAAUUCUUUGCCGGGGCAAUGGCUCUCUUGUUGAGUCAGCAUAGCUUUGCCCAUUUGAAGUCGAGUUUCCAUCCCUUCAAGAUGUUGUUGGAUUCUAUCCUGAUUAAAGAGGAAGAUCCAAAGUUUUUGUCGUAGUUUCGCCCCAAAAGGGCUCUAUGAAAGAAAUCUGGUACCAAAGAAGGUUUUUCACAUACAAGAUGAGAGUGGAAGAUCUUAUGUGGAAGACUUUAGAAUAACAUUGAUUCUGGUCAAAAAGCAUGACCAGGACUUGCUUGAUCUCAUGAGUUCAGACUCAAAAAAAAUAAAAAAUCAAAAAUCAAAAAAAUCGAAGUCAAAAAAAAGAGGAAGAAGAAAAAAGAAAAAGAAAAAGGAGAGGUCAAGGUGAAAACCCGCAAAGGGCGCUUUGACCAAAGGUGGAUCUGAGUUGAAAACCUGAAAAAGGGCGACUCAAAUUUUGAGCAAAAUGGGGCAUGGACAUCACCAUUAUCGAAGACUUCUAAUGGGCAUUGCUUCAUUUUUGAGAGGCUACUGCAUGGAUCAAGGUCAUCCUAUACCGAUACAGAAUUUCAGAUAGGAUGAUAUUGGAAAAUGCAUUGAACUUAAAUGAUAGCAUGAUAACUGAGGUCUGAAAUCAAUUCAGAAGCAGACACCACAUUUUGUCACCGAAUCACCUAGAGGCGAACAAGGACUGGCAUGUGAAAUUACCAUUUGCCCUCAUUGUUUGUCGAACAUCUGUACUGGGACAACACCUCUCUUUUUGGUUUACAGGAUUGAGGUAGUUUUACCUAUCAAAAUCCCCUUAUUGCUUGUUGGAGGGAUCCAAUCGCGAUGUGAUCAGUUGGCCCUAAGAAAAAGGAUUAAAAGCUAUUCAUCAGGGUCGGAUGUACCAUAAAUAAAUAAUACAAGCCUAUAAUAAACAGGCUCGUCUCAGAGAAUUCCACGAGAGGGCUAGAUGUUGAAAAAGAUUCUUCCUUAACGAAAGGAUUCUAAAGGGAAAUGAAUGCCAAACUAGGAAAGUCCUUAUGUUGUAAAGAAGACCAUUUUCAGAGGAGCACUGAUCCUGAGUGAGAUUGCCAAUCCUAUAAACUCGGAUCCAAUUAAGAAACACUUCGUUUAAAGAAGAAGGAAGGACCAAGGCGAAAACCUACAAAAGGGCACUUUGAGUAAAAAAAAAAGAGAUGAAAAAAAUGAAAAAGUAAAAAUGGAGAAGCUAAGGGGAAAACCCGCAAAGGGCACCUUAGGCCAAAGGGGAUUUGAGUUGAAAACCCGAAGAGGGCGGCUCAAAUAUUGAUCAGAAUAGGGCAUGAAGUGAUCAGAUUGGGGCAUGUGGUGAUCUUGCUAUACCUGAAAGGGUAAGGCGACAUCUUGAGGCAUCGACAGAGUCUCGAAGAUCUCCUAAACACAUGUCAAACUUAGAAAAGUCUUCAGAAAGUUUGUACAGAAAAGUUCAAGCUGCGAUAUCUGGGGCACCUAACCUUCAUACUAUUUAUAUAUUGAAGAUUUUCCAAUCAAUUCCUCUUUUUAUUCUUGCUAUCCUUGAUAAUUUAUUCAUUUUGAGCUAUGCUCUCAAAUCAAUUCUAUUUUAUCUAUCGUUAUGAUCUUUUGCAAGCAUGUUGCAUUAGAAUAAUGAUUAAUGGACUAAUAAUACUUUCACAAUUGAAGUUUUGCAUAUUACUCUAGAAGUUUCUAAAUAAUAUAGGAACCAGAAAUAGGACUAUUGUUUAGAAAACACCAAGUUUAAAGGGUGAAAUAUCUAAGAAGGAAGGGUCUAAGUUAAGACUAUCCCUUCGGAUUUUGUUGUCUAAACAUUGAUUGAACAAAAUGACAAAAUAUCGUGUUGGUAACAAAGCUUCAAUGAUCACCAAGUAAUAAGAAAAGGUUUUCUCGAAGAAAAUUUUUUCAAUUGUACAUGAGCAUUUGGUAUGACACCUUGGGAAUGGGGUAAAGGACCAAAGAGCUUCACAUUCUGUAUCCUUGAAUUGUGAUAGGAGAAGAUUAAAAAAAGCCAUAUCUUUCUACCCUGGGGUUACAGCGGGAGAAAGAUGGUUCAAAUUUUGCAUCCAGUGGAUUGAACUUUGACGUUCACAAUGGGGGGCAAUCAGAUUAAGUGUUUCUUUGGAUAUGCCAGCUAAGCAAGAAGACGUUGUAACACGCCAGUGAUAAAACAAUGAGCAAUAACAACCUAAGCAUUAAGGAAUCAUUUUCAUGACAUUUUGCAUUCAUUCAAAUGUCAUUCAUACACAUAUAGUUAGGAGCAUUUGAUUCUUUAUGAUCAUGUCAUCUUAAUCACUAGGCACAAUUAGGUUCAUAAAAUAGAACAUACAGGUCAUGUUCCCUAGAGAACAGAUCAACGAAGUUAUAGAUCUUAUCUUCCUGUAUUUGGCAGCGGAGGAGAUCGAAGAUAGCAGAUCUUAUCUUCCUGUAUUUACAGUAGAGGAGAUCGAAGAUAGUAGAUCUUGUCUUCUUGUAUUUAGUAGUGGAGGAGAUCAAAGAUAGCAGAUCUUGUCUUCCUGUAUUUGGCAGCAGAGGAGAUCGAAGAUAGCAGAUCUUAUCUUCCUGUAUUUGGCAGUGGAGGAGAUCGAAGAUAGCAGAUCUUAUCUUCUUGUAUUUGGCAGCGGAGGAGAUCGAAGAUAGCAUAUCUUAUCUUCCUGUAUUUGGCAAUGGAUAUCAGAUCUUGUCUUCCUGUAUUUGGCAGCAAAGGAGAUCGAAGAUAGCAGAUCUUGCCUUCCUGUACUGACAGUGAAGCAGAUCGAAGAAACCAUAGUUUGCAAUUCAUACGAUUGAAGCCACAACGGUGAAUCUUACUUCCCAGGUGAUGCAGCGGAACAAAUUGAAGCUACGACAGUGAAUUUCACUUCCUGGACAUUGCAAUUCAAAAGAUUGAAGCCACAACGGUGAAUCUUACUUCCAGGAUGCAGUGGAACAGAUUGAAGCUACAACAGCGGAUCUUGCUUCCCUGGCAGUUAAAAAGAUUGAAGCUACAACAGCGAAUCUUACUUUCCUAGCGUUGCAACGGAACAGAUUGAAGCUACAACAGCGGAUCUUGCUCCCCUGGCAAUUAAAAAGAUUGAAGCUACAACAGCGGAUCUUACUUUCCUAGCGUUGCAGUGGAACAGAUUGAAGCUACAACAGCGAAUCUUACUUCCCUGACAUUGCAAUUAAAAAGAUUAAAGCUACAACAGCAGAUCUUACUUUCCUAGCAUUACAGUGGAACAGAUUGGAGCUACAACAGCGGAUCUUACUUCCCCGGCAGUUAAAAAGAUUGAAGCUACAACAGCGGAUCUUACUUUCUAUUGCAGUGGAACAGAUUGAAGCUACAACAGCGGAUCUUACUUCCCCGGCAGUUAAAAGAUUGAAGCUACAACAACGGAUCUUACUUUCCAAGUUGCAGUGGAACAGAUUGAAGCUACAGCAGCGGAUCUUGCUUCCCCGACAUUGUAACUUAAAAGAUUGAGGCCACAACAACGAAUCUUACCUUUUCAGGCGGUGCAGUAGAACAGAUUGAAGCUACAAUGGCGAAUCUCACUUCCCUGACAUUGCAAUCAAAAGAUUGAGGCUACAACGGCGAAUCUUAUUUCCAAGCAGUGCAGUGGAAUAGAUUAAAGUCACAACAGAGAAUCUUACUUCCCCGACAUUGUAAUUAAAGGAUUAAGGCCACAACGGAAAAUCUUAUUCCCAAGCGGUACAGCGAAACAGAUUGAAACUACAACGUGGAACCGAUUGAAGCUACAAUGGCGAAUCUUGCUUCCCUGUCAUUUUAAAUAGAUUAAAGAUGACAAACCUUAUCUCUUUGAAACUGCAGUAGAGCAAAUCAUAGCAAGUCUUAUCUCCCUAACGUUGUAGUAGAAUGGACUAAAACCCCGAAUCUUAUCCUCCUGAAGUUGCUGCGAAGAAGACUGAAGCUACGAGUCAGGUCUCCUUGAAGUGCAGUGGAAUGGAGUCAAGCAACAAGUCCUAGUGGAUUGGAAUGAGGAUACUUGAAAAAGAGAAGCGUCAAGAGAAGCCAAGACUCGAUGGGACUGGGCAAAAUUGGUCUUUCUUAGUCUUUGCUUUAUUCUCGUUACACGACAACGAGCAAAGAGGGGCAGCUGUACAGACCAAUUUUACCCAGCCCAUUUCCAGCAGACCCAAAACCCAAUACCCACCUAAACCUAACCCUAAAUUAGCCCAGUACACUUAAAACAAACCCAAACCAAUUAAACCUACCCAAACCCAAAUUGUAGGCCCAUAAUUAAACCCUAGCCCCUAACCUAGGCGCCGCACAUCCCUUCAGUCGCCUACCCUCUGCGCGCCGAUGCCACCACCUGUCCACUGCUUCGCCCCACCUACUCCGCCACCUGCUCUAUCAAGGCCUACACGCAAGCAAAGAAGGACAAAACAGUAGUAGAAAAAUAGAAAAUUGUAAAAUGGCGAUUUAAAAGCCAUUCAAAACAGAUCUAAAGGGGUAUUAUUUUUCGGUAUAAAACCGAUUGAAAAACCAUUGCAAAAAAAGAAACCGAUCUUGUUUUGUAAAAAAAGGGGCUCCUUUUUUCUUUUCAUGAACAUUAGAGGAAAUUAAACAGAAAGAGAUUUCUCAAAUGCUUUUUAGGUUUGCUUUUAUUUUCUGUCUUUUUUUGUGUUUUUCUUUUACUCCAUACCAAAUAAUAAGUAAUAAAAUAACAAAGUAAAAAAGGGGAGAACGAAAACCUUACCAGCUCCGCGCCGGAGGAGAAGGAAGGUGAGCAGUUUCGCUCCCAUUUUUUGGCUUUUGGGCUCUCCUUUCACGAGAUUCAGCCUUGAAUCCGUGUUCUAGAGGCCACCGGCUUCAAAAAGGGACUGGAAAGGCUUGAUUUUGUGCCUCCGGCCGCCGCUCGCGGUGGCGCUACGGCGGAGGUGCGCCGGAGCUUGGCCGGAUGGGGGAGAGGAAACAUUGAGAGGGUUUUUGUUGUUUUUUUUUUGGAAGAAAGGAUUAAAAUGAGAUUUUCUAAAAUCUUUUUUACUUUUAUAACAAAAUGAAAUGGCGCCGUUUUAGUAAAGGGCCGACUCGCGAUCCGACCAGCUCCAAGGCUAGGGUUCGCGUAUUUCUAUUGGAAGGGCUAACUACAACUUUAGCCCUUCCGCUUUUUAACAGUUUUACAAUCAAGUACUUGUGUUUUUUAAAAAAUUUUCCCCGUAAAUUUUUUGCGAUUACAUUUUGGUCCCUGUUGGAACGACGUCAUUUUCGGGGGAAAGGUUAAAUUACCCUUUCAGUCCCUUCAUGUUGCGCGCGUGUUCAAAUUAGUCCCUCCCCUUUAUUUUAUUUGUGAUUGAACCCCUAAUUUUGUUUUAAAAUUUUAAUUUAGUCCUUUUGUUAUUUUAUUAUUAUUAUUAUUAUUAUUAUUAUUAUUAUUAUUAUUAUUAUUAUUAUUAUCAUCAUAUUAUUAUUAUUACAUAAUAGCUUAUAUAUAUAUACAUAUAUACUUUUGCAUACCUUUUAUAGUUUUUAUAUACUUGCAUGUACAUAUACAUAUUUUUUAUAUUUUAUAACUUAAAACUAUUUCCAUGCAUGUGUAUAUUUCUUUUUUUUUAAUACUAAAUAUAUACGCAUAUGUUUUUAUUUUGUUUUAUAACUUAAAACUAUAUAUAUACAUACAUAUAUUCUUUUUAUAUAUUUUAUAGUUUUAAAAUAUACGCAUGCAUCUAUAUAUUUUUAUAAUACAUAUGUACAUAUAUUUUAUAAUUUAUAUAUAUACAUAUAUUUUUGUAAUUUUAAAAUGUACAUAUAAACACACAUACUUCUAUAAUUCAUUUAUUUAUUUAUUUAUUAAUUUAUUUCUGUGUUUCUUUCUUGUAUCUUUGUUUUACCUGAUGUUUAUUUGUAUAUUUACGUAUAUCUUUGUUGUUUUGCUUUUUAGAUUUUAUGAUUUCCACGUACAUAUAUAUACAUAUUUAUACUUUAGUAUUUUUAUAAUUUUGUUCAUGUUCAUUUUGAUUAUUUAUUCACAUCUUUAUUAUUAUUUUAAUCUAAUUCGUUCACGUAUCUGUUAUUCUGCAUGUCGUUAAUUUAUCUUUUUAUUCAUUCAUUUUAUUACUGCUGCUCGCAUUAUUUUUAUUUGCAUCAUCAUAAUUACUAUUUUUUCAUAUAUAGUUUUUACUCAAAUUUUCCAAAAAUGAAAUUUUAAAAAUAUAAGUAAUAUUUGGUAUUUUGGAUCUUCGAGAGAAUCGAGCCCUAACGUAUUGGGUUCCGACUUUCUUCGUUGAAUUUAAAUAAUCGAGAUUACUCUUUUAAAAAUGAUAAAAAGCUCGUUAUCAAGAAUUCAAUACGUUGUGUCCUAACGCAUUGGAUGUGACAUGUUGUUUUCUCGAGACGAAGAUUUUUCGAAAUAAAUGCAAUAUUCAAUGUUUAAUAUUUUGAGAAAUUGUGCCCUAACGUAUUGGGUUGCGAUUUCUUCUUUUGAUUUAAACAAUUGAAUAUUCUUUUAAACUUUAUUACACGAAUCUUUUCAAACUCAAGUUUUAAAUAAUAUCGAGAAUUAAAAAAGGAUUGUGUCCUAACUUUCUGGUCGUGAUCCUUUUUUAAAUCCAAGAUAGUUAAAUAUCUUUUAAAUAAGCAUUUUUCAUUCGCGUAUCAGGAAUUCGAGACAUUAUGUCCUAACUUACUGGAUAUGAUGCUUUCUUUCUCGAUUAACGUGGAAUGUGCUCCUUUUUCCCAAAAUUUUCAACAUUUUAAUACAAGGAUCUUAUUUUUAAAUUUUUUUUAAAGUUUUCAAGUUUUUGACACUAAGACAUUAAGUAAUCAACUAUGUACCAAUUUUGGGCGUAUCGAGGGUGCCAAUCCUUCCUCGUGCGUAACCGACUCCCCAACCCAUUUUUCUGAAUUUCGUGGACCAAACUUGCUGUUUUAAUAAAAUCAAACCGUUUAUUAAAAACAACCACUUUUCAAAGUAUCCAAUCACACCUCAUAAAAACGGAUUAGUGGCGACUCCCGUUUUAUUCGUUUUCGUCAAAACCCAAGUCGACCCCGUUUUCAUCCAAAAAAUGGUGUCAACAAAAUGCUUCUAUACUCAGCUUCAGCUGAUGAAUGUGAGACUAUAUUCAGCUUCUUUGACUCCCAGGAGAUAAGAGAAUCUUCGAGUUUGAUGUAGAAACCAACAAUAGACCUUCUAGACAUGGGGCACGUGGCUCAAUCCGAAUCGCAAUAAGUAACAAGUUGUUGUUUAUUUGAUGCAGCCAACAAAAUCCCUAGGCCAAGAUCCUGACACCCCUUUUUGGGACUUGACUUUGUCUAGCUUCAUCUUAGGCUUUCAUUUUACCUUGAUGGAUUAACUUAUUAAGAGAUAACCACGCAAUCAAAUAUACUGAUUGUCAACUACCUUUAGCGAACUUACAGAUAUCUCGCCACUACGACGUAUUCUUACUUUGAUCUAUUCAUUCCACAUUGAACUCAAUACCAACUUAUUGUAUUAUCUCGACAGCUGCCUUCUUAUAACUUAGCUUGAGCAUAUACGCUUCUAAAAGAAAGACCGUUUACCUACAUCCUUGUAUGUGACCUUCAAAUAUAAGACUUGGCGGAUAAUCAGACACUAUGUUUUUCUUGCGGAAUUGUACUUGUAAGACAGUCCUAAUGGACUUUUCCUCUUAAGAUAGUUCGAAUAGAUAUUUCUUUAAUCAGGUACCUAAUUUACUUCCCAUCCACCAAUCGUCUCCAGCAGACUAUCUCUUCACUAGAUCAUGUAAGGCAGACUUCCCUUUUAUAAGAUAGUCCUUAGUAGACUUCUCAGCACUAGAUAGACCCAACAAACAUCAUCUUCCUUUGUUAAUCCCUGGUGGACAUUCCACCUAAGAUAGUCCUUGGCGUACAUUCCACUUAAGAUAGUCUUUGGUGAACAUCAUUUUUUGGUGACCUCUUUGCCACUAAAUACUUAGAAUUAAAAUCUGAAGAACCGCCUCGCUUUCUCAUAACCAAUAUUGACUUAUUCAUUACGUUUGACGAACUCUUAAAUGGCAGAUACUUAUCCACAAAUACUCUGAAGAAAAUACUACUGUUUUUAUACAUAUCCACGCACUAAGCACUUUCACAUAUUCCUCAUGCGCUCGCAUCUUGGCUGGAUCUCUUAUCAGCACAAUUGCCCACGUUCCCAUAUGCGCCAUGACCGUUAUGACAAACAUGUUCAGCAUUUUGCUUUGAAUGUUCACAACCAUAAGAAGAGAAAGGCACAAAAGCAUCAUACUCAUCCCAAAGUAAGCGUAAUUUAGUGAAAUACACAAACAUUGAAGCGGUUCCUUGAAUGUGAGAAAUGGUCUCACGAUGCAAAAAAUAGACUCGAAAUGCAUCAACUUUAUUAAAACGUUCAUCAAGAUCUUUCCAAACAAACGUUGCACUGGAAGAAAAAACUAUCCUUACUGAAAGUUCUCUGCUAACUGUAUUCAAGAUCCAUGAUACAAUUAUGACAUUACAGUGUUCCCAUUAAGAAUGCAAAUCCUCUUGUUUUUUUCCAAUAAUGCAAUUCGCAUAAAUCUGCUCCAGAUAUUAUAGUUUUCAAGCCCAAAAAUGGAUUCAUAAAAAAGGAAAAAUGAUUUCAUGAAAAAUAACAUCACGGUUGACAAAGAAAGUUUUUGUGUCAAGGUUGAAUAGAAGAUAACCUUUUUAAACAUUUGAGUUCCCCAUGAAAACAAACGACAUUGCUUUGGGAGAAAACUUAUUACACUCGCCCCAAAUUUUGCUAGGUAUAUUGGACAAAAAUUUUAAGGAUCGGGCAGCCUUAAGCAAGUAUUGAUGCUUACGCUCGGCCACACCAUUUUGUUGUGAAGUGUGAGUGCAUGAAAUUUGGUGUACAAUUCCCAAGGUAGAAAAAUAUGCAUUACAUUCAUUAUUAAAGAAUUCAUAUCCAUUGUCAUUACAAAUGAUUUUGACAAUGGCUAAAAACUGGUUUUUUUACCAUAGUAACAAACUGCUUGAGUUGUAAAUUAACAUCACUCUUUAAUUGUAAAAUAUACACCUAAGUCAUGCUUGAGUAAUCAUCAACAGUGGUUAAGAAGUAUCUAUGUCCACUAUGUGUAGAAACUCUAUAAGGACCCUACAAGUCAAUAUGGAUAAGAGAAAAAAUUAUUUCAACCUGAGUUUUACUUAUUGAAAAAGAUAACCUACUUUGUUUUGCAAGAGGACAUACAGGGCACUGCUGUAUGGGACAAAUAUUCGAGAAUGUACAUGGUAUGUAAGACAUCUUAUUCAACUUUGAAAGGGAAGCAUGACCAAGAUGUGCAUCCCAAAGUAGAGAGGAUUCUAUAGUUGCAGUUGUGAGGAAUGAGGUGUCAGCUGUGUUUGAAGCUGGUGAAGUUUCAUUUUUAGAAGAGUAAAGGACGUAGAGACCACCUUGUUCUUUACCAAUCCCCUUUUAUCUUUCCUCUCAAAAGAUCCUGAAAAAGAUUAAAAUGGGGAUAAAAUGAAACAAAACAAUGUAGUUCUUUAGUAAGUUUGGAAAUUGAAAUUAGAUUGUAGCAAAAAAUUGGAAUAUAAAUCACAAGUGUUAGUUUAGCAUCAAGAUAAAUAGCACAAGAUCCUAUGUGAGUAAUCAGAGUGGAUGAACCAGUAGGUAAUCAAACACAAGAUGAAGAUGAUGCACAAGAAAUAGGAGAUUCCAAACACUAGAAGUUAGAUAGCAUAUGGUUGGUAGUACCAGUGUCCAAGAUCCACUCACAAGGUGAUCUCAUAUCUGCCAAACUUGCAACAGCUUCAACUGAAGAGUCUUUAUUCAAUAGAAACAGAAUAUGUUGAUAUUGUGCUUGUGUAAAAAAGGGUGCUUGAGAGGUAUUAAACAUACCAAUGUUACCAGCCGUAUCAAAAGAAUUGGUCACCUCAACAUUAUUCACCACAGAUCUAGUUGAAGUCUUUCGUGAACUUAAAACCAGGGGCUAUCCAAUUAACCUAUAAUAAUUCUCCAUCUUAUGCCCCUUGAUUUUACAAUGAUCACAUACGCCAUUGAUCCUCUUAUUCUGGGCCACAUUAGUAGAAUGCACGAAAGUUGGAUCAGGAAUGACAGACCCUGAAGCAUGUUGCCUUUGAGACUCUUCCUGCACCAACAUAGAGUAUGCUUGAUUUAUAGAAGGCAAUGGAUUCAUUAGUAAAAUUUGACUACGAACUGCAUUAUAGGUUUCAUUUAAGCCUAUCAAGAACUAAAACAGACACUGUUGAGUAACAUGUUUAGCAUUUUGCUUUGAUUAUUCACAACCAUAAGAAGAGAAAGGUACAAGAGCAUCAUCCUCAUCCCAAAGCAAGCGUAAUUUAGUGAAAUACAUAGACAUUGAAGCGGUUCCUUGAAUGUGAGAAGUGGUCUCACAAUGCACAAAGUAGACUCGCUAUGCAUCAACUUUAUUAAAACGCUCAUUAAGAUCUUUCCAAACAAAUGCUACACUGGAAGCAAAAACUAUCCUUGCUGAAAGUUCUUUGCUAACCGUGUACAGCCCAAAUUUACCCGAGGCCCAAACCCCAAACAGCAGACCCAAUAACCCAAAUUACAAACAAGCCCAAACCCAAAAACAAAAAAAAAGAAACAAAGAAACCCUAGCCCCUAAUCCUAGCCUCUGCCACCGCCCUAGCCUCUACCAUGCCAGCACCGCCACUGCCGCCGCCCUCCUAGAACCGUCCACUUGCACCACUUGCGCCUGCAACAGUCAGAGAAGAAAAGAUAGCAAACAAUUGAAACAUGCAACAAAUAAUAGGGAUAACAUGUAACAAUAGCUAUAAAAGCCGAAUCUCAUAACUAAACAGGGGAUUUUUGCUUUUUGAAAAUAGACGUGAAAUCAAAAAUAAAAACAGACAUUCGAGAAUAGAAGCAACACUUUAAGGUUUUAUUCUUUUUGCUAUUUCAUUUUUUUUUUCAUUUCGAAAUAUAAGACAAAAAAGAGAGUUUUUUACCUUUUUUAGUCGUCAUCGGAGUGUUGGAGGCGGAGGGCUGCAUCGAAAAAAUAGAAGAAAUUUUUUGGACUCCCCGCCGCCAUGCACGGCGGCGCCGACACCGACGAUCGGUGACUGGCGACCGGCACGGUAGUCAAUAACCGGACCUGAGGCUGGUGCCCGGAGAAAGAGGGGAGUUAAGAGUGUUUUUGAGAAUUUUUUGCCAAGAAGAGAGAAAAAUGAAUAUUUUUUUUUGGAAAAAAUUUGGUUUAAAUAGGGGAGCAAAACAACGCCGUUUUGCUCAGCCCUUUAAAAUGCCAAAACGGCGUCGUUUCGAGGCCGGCCCGAGACCCGACUCGCUCCAGGUCAAGAUCCGCGUGUUUUUAUUUAGAAGGGCUAAUUGCACCUUUAGCCCUUCCGCUUUUUAAUGGUUUUAUAAUCAAGUAUUUUUAUUGCUUUUAAUUUUACCCCGGAUUGUUUUUGAGUUUUCAAUUUAGUCCCUACUGGAACUCUGCGUUUUGCAAGAAUGGGAUUAUUUCCCAUUUGCCCCUUCCUAGUUUUCCACGCAUUCAAGAUGAUCCUUUCUUCUUUAUUUGUUUUCAAUUUCGCCCCCAAAUGUUGCUUUUUUUUAUUUUAGUCCUUUUCUAUCUUUAUUUUAUUAUUAAACCAAUUAAGUUAGUACUAUUAUUAUUAUUUAAUAUUAUUGUUAUUAUCAUCAUAUUUCCAUUUAUACUUAUUUAUGUAAAUUUUAAAUACAUUUAUCUUAUUAUAGUAUUAUUAUUUUAAUUACUUACAUAUAUAUAUACACAUACAUGUGAUUUUAUAAUAUAUAUAUAUGUAUAUUUUUAUAAUCUAUCUAUAUAUUCAUAUACGUACCUAUAUAUAUUUCAUAAUUUUUAUACACAUCUAUAUACAUAUUUUCUAAAUUUUUAUAAUUAUAUAUAUUUAUACGUACACAUUUCUUAAUUUUUUUUAUAAAUAUAUAAAGUAUACAUAUAUACAUACUUUUAUAUAUACAUGUUUUUACAUAUUUCAUAAUUUUAUAUAUACACAUAUAUGUAUAAUUUAACUCAUAUUUACGUAUAUACAUACUUACAUAUAUUUUCACGUAAAAUAGCUUUAAAAUAUGUGUACAUACAUAUGCUCUUCAUAUUUUCAUAAUUUUGUACAUAUAUAUAUCUUUUAUAUUUUCAUAAUUUUUUGGAUCAUUUCGUUCAUUUAUUUAUUUGUUACAUGACUGCUAUUAUUAUUUAUGUUUUAGUUUUUAUCUGUUUAUUAUUUGUCAUUGUGCCUGCAUGAUUGAAUUUUUUUAUAUAUUGGUCUUAUUUAUUUAUUUGUUCGUUUUUGCUCAUAUUAUUUACAUUAUCAUCAUUAUCAUUAUUUUGCUUCCAUUUUUACUCGGAUUUAUCAAAAAACGAAAAAUUUCAAAAUAAAAGUAAUACUCAGUAUUUGGGAUCUUCGAGACAAUCGAGCCCUAACGUAUUGGGUUCAGAUUUUCUUCAUUGAACCUAAAUAAUCGAGAUUACUCUUUUAAAAAAAAAUAAAAAGCUCAUUAUCGGGAAUUCAAUACGUUGUGUCCUAACGCAUUGGAUAUGACACGUUGUUUUCCCGAGAUGAGGAUUUUUUCUAAAAAAUAAUAAAGGCAAUAUUCAAUGUUUAGAAUUUUGAGAAAUUGUACCCUAACGUAUUGGGUUGCGAUUUCUUCAUCUGACUUAAACAAUUGAAUAUCCUUUUAAACUUUAUUACACGAGUCUUUUUUUCAAACCUAAUCUUUAAACAACCUCGGAAAUUAAGAAAAGAUCAAGUCCUAACUUACUGGGCCUGAUCCCUUUUUUCUGAAAUUCGAGAUAACUAAAUAUCUUUUAAAUAAGCAAAUUUUUAGCAUUCAUUCGCGUAUCGAGAAUUCGAGACAUUGUGUCCUAACUUACUGGAUAUGAUUUUCUUUCUCGAUUAACGUGAAAUAUGCCCUUUUCCCAAAAAUUUUCAACAUUUUAAUACAAGGGUCGUAUUUUUAAAAUUCUUCAAAGUUUUCAAUUUUCGACAUUAAGACAUUAACUAAUCAACUAGGUACCAAUUUUUGGGCGUUACGAGGGUGCUAAUCCUUCCUAGCACGUAACUGACUCCCGAACCCGUUUUUCUGAAUUUCGUGGACCAAAAUCGUUGCUUUAAUAAAAUUAGAUCGUUUAUUAAAAACAACCACUUUUCAAGGUGAUCCGAUCACACCUUAUCAAAAAGGAUUGGCGGUGACUCCCGUUUUCGUUUUCAAAAUUCAAGUCGGCCCCGUUUUAUCAAAAAAAUGGUGUCAUCAAACCGUAUUCAAGAUCCAUGACAAAACUGCGACAUUACAACAUUCCCAUUGAGAAUGCAAAUCCUCUAUUACAGAUUCUUUAGAGUUGGUCCCAUCUGCAAAACCUAACUUGUUUUUUUCCAAUAAUGCAAUUCGCAUAGAUCUGCUCCAGAUAUUAUAGUUUUGAAGCCCAAAAAGUUAAUGAGAAACGAGUAACGUAUCUAGAGUAUCAGUAAGAGUAUCAGAAGGAUGCAAGUACAGGGGAUGAUUGAAAUCAACUAAAAGAUUAAAGGAAUUCACCAUUGCAACAAAUCGCGAACAAAAAAACAAAGUAGUGACAAACCAACCACAAUCAAUAGAGAAUUUCAAUAGCAGUUAAGAAUUUAUGUGAAAAGGUGAAAGAUGAAUAAAUUUGAUAUCAAUUUUUUAUUAGUGAAAACUGUAUAUAAAAUUAGAACUGAUAGUAUUUAUAUACUAUCAACUCCUAACUAACUAACCGAUGAUUAUCUCUUCAACAAUAUCAUAUUCAAACUUAAAUUUCUUGAAUAAGGUAUAUAUUUUAGUAUUUAUAGUUCUCUUUAUAUAUUUUUAAAAAAAAAUUGAUUUUAAGUUUUUUUAAAGUAAAUUUAUGUAUUAUUUUAUACGAGGUGCCACGUUAUGGCAAAAAAUUUCAAAUUUUCUCUUGGUAUUAUCAAAUACCCUCAUUCGUUUUACGGUUUAAGAUCAAUCUUGUAGGAGUCGAGAAUGGAUUCAAAUAAAAUUUUUCCAAUAAUAAUAACUCCAAUAUUCAAAUUUAGUACAGAAUUCAACCACUAUUGGUAGUUCCAAAAUUUUAUCCUCAAUAAUUGUUGGUAUUGAAACGUGUUACACAAUGAGUUUUGUCGAUAUAUUAUUUGUUGAUGACCUUUCUCGAUUAUGAUACUGACAUGUACCUACGAAAAACAGUCCAUGCUUGACCUUAUUUACAUGUGACCAAGCAUAAUUUGACACAAAGCUUCUAUUGUGGCACCUUUUCGGAGGAUCAUAAUAAACAGAAGUAUAAAUAUAGACUUCUAACUACUUUUUUUCAUCAACUUAAUGCAUUGAUAGCAGUACUGUUUAUGUGUGAAGUUAGAUUCAUGGUAUUAAUGCAUUGAUAGCCGUACUGUUUAUGUGUGAAGUGCUAUAUUUUUAUUAAAUAUUAAAAAUAUUUUAUUUAAACUUAAAUUAUAUUUAUUUUCAUAUUAAAUUAUACAUGUACUAUAAUUUAAAUUAUUCAAUUUUGAAUUACACUUUUUUAUUAAUACAAAAGUAAGACUUACCACUAUAAAAUAUGUAUUGUUAAUUAGUAGUUAAAAAUUCACAUUAAAAUUCAAAUUUCAUUAUCAUUUACACAUUCAAAUCUCCAUCAAGAUUUGAAGGUUCUUUCUUUUAAUUAUUAUAGUAUCAAGGGGAAUUUAAAGGGGUAGGUGGUGCCUUGGUUCAAUUAUGUUUUAGCUCCUCAAAUGAAAAAAAUUAUGUUAAGUCACUCUUAAAAUAAUGUAAUCAUAAAAUUAUAUUUGAUAAAAUUAUAUUUAGACCUCUUAAAAAUUUAUAAUUUAAUUCUGACCCCUUUUUCGUAACCAUUUCAAAAUUAUUACUUUGUAUUAUUUACAUUAAAUAAAAAUAUAUUCUUUUAUAAAUUAUAAAUAUAAUUAGGUAAAAUCACAUAACUCCCAACCCCUAACUUCGUCUUUAUUUCGACAGCGACUUCCAUCUUUCAAUUUCACUAAUUAAAUUUGUUUAUCUAUUGGGAGUUUUCUUCAACCUUUUCUCUCAUUGGUUUUUAUUAUAUAUAAAGGAUACUAAAUCAUCAUGUGUGAUCUUGUGGUUAAUCUAGCUAUCUUUAUUUCAAAAUGAAUCCUCUUAUUCUAUUGAAGAAUGCUGCUCAAAAUGGAGAUGUUAACAAGUUAUAUCAAGCGAUAGCUAAAGAGUCUAAUGUUUUGGAGCAUUAUGAUCAAACACCUUUCGCUGAAACUCCAUUACAUAUAGCCACAAGUCGAGGGCAUAUCAAUUUUGCUUUAGAGAUAAUGAGGCUUAAACCAUCUCUUUCCAAGAAGCUAGAUGAACAAGUGUGGAGUCCCAUGCACGUUGCGUUGCAACAUAACCAGACCUCGAUGGUGUAUCGGCUCAUAGAGACGGAGCCAACCCUUGUUGGUGUCAAAGGAAGGGAGGGUUUCACUCCACUGCACUACGUUGUUCAAAACGACGAAGUUAAUCUCUUGCGUGAGUUUCUAGCGGUAAGCCCUCAUUCCAUCAUGGAUACCACGAAUAAAGGUAAAACGGCUUUGCAUAUCGCUGUGGAGAAGGGAAAUACCAGAGCUUUAGAGACUUUGUUGUCGUUUCUUCGAAGGUCAUGGUAUAGGGAGGCAUUAUAUUGGGAAGAGAAAUUAGUUAACUGGAAGGAUGAAAAAGGUGAAACAGUACUGCAUGUAGCAGUGAAGAUGAACGAUAUCGAGGUGAUUUUUGAUGAACUCAUUUCAGCUAUGCAUGACAAGAUUAUAUUGCAUUGCAUUACAAUUAGAUUAUAUAACCGGCCAAAUUUUAUAGGAAGUCCCUAUACUUUACAUUCUUCUUUGUAGCUUUAGUAAAUUUACUACAUUUGAUCAAUUCUAGUUUUGGUUUAGACCGGGUUGUCUUCGGUUUGUGAUGAUGAUUUUGGGUUUUAAUUUUAGGUUUAAUUAAUUUUUCAUUUUUAAAAAUAAAAAUUUUGUGCCGAUGGGGCAAGAAAAUUUGCCAUGCCUGUCGGGUUAACGAUUUGAUUUUAAGUUUUUCGGGGCAAUAUAUUAUUGGUAUUUAAAUUUAGUUUUAUUGUUAAAUUUGAUAAUUGAAAUUUUUUUUUGUUUUAAUUUAGUACCUAAGUUUGAUUUUAAUUUUUUAUUAGAUCAAAUGGCGUCAUGUACCCCAAUGAAUGUUUGACAUGUGUACUUUAAUCAAAAAUGUACUUAAUUGAAAAAAAAGAAGCUCAAGUACCAAAUUAAAAAUUGAAGCUAAACUCCAAUUCUUACUUUUUUUUUCUUUUUUUACCAUUGUCUAAGAACAAAAAUCACAAAUUUUAAGUCAUUUUUCUGAACUAUCCAACUAUUUUCUUUUGAGUCAAGUUUAAAAUUUUAAUAUUCAAAAUGUCGAAUGAAAUUAAAAUUGAUAAAGUUGGAAUGCAGGACCAAAUCCACUAGAACACAUAGUACAUGAACAAUUAGGAUAAUUUAACCAUGAUAAUCCUUUCUUCAAUGGUAAUAAGAUGAUCAUUGCAAAAUCCUACCUUGCAGGUUGUGAAAUCGUUACUAAACUCUAAAAUCAACGUGAAUGCAAAAAGCCUAGAAGGUAAAACAGUUCUGGACAUUCGCGCUGGCAAUAAUCCAGACAUGGAAAAAGUUUUAAUCCAAGCAGGAGCUAAAAAUAGUGAUGUAAUGAAGGCCAACAACAUUAAUGCUAUUCCUUCCUGUUGGGAAGAAACCGAACAACCGAAACAAAGCGAAAGCACAACCGGUGUUCUUUCUCUCCUUAUAACUCCUGUAAAAAAUUAUGGCAAGCACAAUAGCACAAGAUAUGUUCUCUAGCAACCUUAAUCAACCACAAAUCAACUAAUGCAACCACAACAAAAAUAAAUAGAGACACCAAUAUUUUUACGUGGAAAACCCCUCUAAAUUAAGGGUAAAAACCACGGGACUUUAGAGUCCGAUAAAGAGCUCCACUAUCAUCAAAUGUUCAACUACAAGAUCACAAUAUCAAGCCUACAACAAGCAUUCAACUCCGACAAGGCUAACAACAUGUAAUCUUUAGCAAAAGAGAGAAAAAUGAGAGAACAUCACCAAAAACGUAGCUGCUGAAAAAUGGGUAUUUCCGACGCUACAAGACUCGGAUGAAAAAUCCGACCGUACAAAGUCAAGAACACCUUAUCACCUAGCUGCUGUCCAAAAAUCAGCUCAAUCGAACCACGGAUGGACCUUCGAUCGAAGAGUUGAUCACUGUUGCACCAAGCUUGAAAAUCUGAUUUUUUUCUAUUCUCUUUCUCUCUAUUUUUUCUUUAGCUCUCUGCAGAAAAAUUUCUGCCCAACACCCGUUAAUAAGCCAAAAAAUUGGCUUUUGACAAAACCAAAAGAAAAAGGAAGGCAAAACAUUUGUGCCAGAAAAUAUGGGUUUCCCACAUAGUGGGACCCAUACCCAACAAAUCUCCCCCUCCAACUAUGUGGGGAAUGCCUCCAUACCGGAGGUCAAACAACAUGCUUCAAAUUUUCCUCUUGGUAAGGCCUUCGUCAACAUAUCAGCACCAUUAUCAUUAGUGUGUAUCUUCUCAAGCUCUAACAGCUUAGCUUCAAGAACAUCUCGUAUCCAAUGGUACCUCACAUCAAUAUGCUUAGAUCUAGCAUGAAAAGUUGAGUUCUUACCAAGAUGAAUAGCACUCUGGCUAUCACAGUACAGGACAUACUUCUCCUGAGUAAAACCAAGCUCAUGCACAAACUUCUUCAUCCAAAGCAUCUCCUUACACGCUUCGGUUGCUGCAAUGAACUCUGAUUCGGUGGUGGACAAUGCAACACACUUUUGCAGUCUCGAUUGCCAUGCCACAGCUCCCCCUGCAUAAGUGAUUAAGUAACCUGAAGUAGAUCUCCUCGAGUCAAUGUCUCCGGCCAUGUCUGAAUCUGUAUACCCAACAAGAACAGGUUUCUCAUUGCCGAAACAAAGUUUCAUGUUGGAAGUGCCACGAAGAUAUCUCAUAAUCCACUUCACUGCAUUCCAAUGCUCUCUGCCUGGAUUAGAAAGAAACCGACUAACUGUACCAACGGCAUAAGCCAAGUCUGGUCUCGUGCAAACCAUUGCGUACAUCAAACUACCCACGGCUGAAGAGUAAGGAAUUUUCUGCAUCUCUUCCUUCUCCUUUUCUGUGGAAGGACUAUGCUUAACACUCAAUCUAAAGUGCAUAGCAAAGGGAGUAUUCACCGCUUUAGCUUUGUCCAUACUAAACCUUUGAAGUACUUUCUCAAUGUACCUCUCUUGUGAUAACCAUAAUUUCUUGGCCUUUCUAUCACGUGUCAGUCUUAUGCCAAGAAUUUGCUUUGCUGGCCCCAAAUCCUUCAUUGCAAAGGAUUUACUCAACUCUUGUUUCAACUUCUCAAUUCUAGAAGCAUUCUGACCAACAAUAAGCAUAUCAUCAACAUAGAGCAAAAGAAUAAUAAAAUCAUCACCAGAGAAUCUCUUAACAAACACACAAUGAUCAGAAGUAGUCUUCUUGUAGCCUUGCUCCCCCAUAACAGACUCAAACUUCUUGUACCAUUGCCUUGGAGCUUGCUUCAAACCAUACAAGCUCUUCUUCAAUCUGCACACAUAGUCCUCUUUCCCUUGUGCAACAAAACCCUCUGGCUGCUCCAUGUAAAGCUCUUCUUCCAAGUCACCAUGAAGAAAAGCAGUUUUCACAUCCAUUUGUUCAACCUCUAGGUCAUAACAAGCUGCCAAACUCAGUAUAGUUCUGAUAGAGGACAUCUUCACAACCGGAGAAAAUAUUUCUUCAAAAUCAACCCCCUUUUUCUGAGUAUAACCCUUGACGACCAAUCUAGCUUUGUAUCGUGGAGAUGAAGACUUCUCUUCUUGCUUCAACCUGUAAACCCACCGAUUCUUCAAAGCUCUUUUGCCCUUAGGCAGUUUCACCAAUUCAAAAGUAUGGUUCUCAUGCAAGGAUUGAAGUUCGUCUUUCAUCGCUUCAACCCACUGAUCUUUGCAUUCACUCUCCAUAGCCUCUUCAUAACAUUCAGGUUCUCCCCCGUCAGUCAAAAGAACAUAUUCAUCAGGAGAAUACCUGACAGAAGAUCGUCGAUCUCUGGAAGACCUUCGAAGUGGAACUGCUGGUGGAGCUAUAGGUGCUUGUUGUUGAUCAUUCACAACAUCAUCCAUGGGAGUAUCAAAGUCACCUAUAGUCUGAUGGUCACCACUAACAUCACCAUGCACAUCAUCCUGGAUAGGAUCUGGUGAAGAGUCUAAGGGAACCGGAUUCACAUCGAUCAAGUCACCACUACCUUGUGAAUCCACUUUCUCCGUUUUAUCAAUGUCAUCAAUGGUCUGAUCCUCAAUGAAGACAACAUCUCUGCUUCUCACGAGUUUCUUCUGAACUGGAUCAUAGAGUCUAUAACCAAACUCACCAUCUAGACCAUAACCAAUAAAAAUGCAUUGUCGAGCCUUGGCAUCCAACUUGGAUCUUUCAUCCUUUGGAACAUGAACAAAUGCUUUACAACCGAACACACGUAGGUGAUCAUAUGACACGUCUUUACCAAACCAAACUCUAUCUGGCACAUCACCUUUCAAAGGAACACUAGGAGACAGAUUUAUCACAUGUGUCACUGUAUUCAAAGCUUCAGCCCAAAACGAUCUUGGUAACUUUGCAUCUGACAACAAACAUCUGACUCUCUCAAUCAAUGUUCGGUUCAUUCUUUCAGCUAACCCAUUUAACUGUGGAGUCUUUGGUGGUGUUCUCUGAUGUCUGAUUCCCUGUCGCAGACAAUACUCAUGAAACGACCCUGUGUACUCGCCACCAUUAUCAGUACGAAUGCACUUCAACUUCUUCCCAGUUUCCCUUUCAACUGAUGCUUGAAACUGUUUAAACACCUCAAAGACUUGAUUUUUAGACUUUAAAGUGUAAACCCAUAGCUUUCUUGAACAAUCAUCAAUGAAAGUCACAAAGUAAAGUGCACCACCAUGUGAUCUUACUUUUAUCGGACCACAAACAUCUGAAUGGACCAACUCUAGCAACUCUGAUUUCCUAUGAGGAGGAUGGCUUCUAAAUGAAACUCUUUUCUGCUUUCCUGCUAGACAAUGAGCACAAUUCUUCAGUGUAGCAUUCUUUAAACCCGAAAGUUGAUUCUUCUUCGCUAAACAGCUAAGCCCCUUCUCACUCAUGUGACUGAGUCGUUUAUGCCACAACUCAGUUGAGUUGUCAUUCAGUGUCACAUUCACCGUCUCUCGAGAAGUCAAAGCUUGCAUCAAGUACAAAUUUGAGCUCUUCUUUCCUCGAGCCACAACCAAGGAGCCUUUAGUCAGCUUCCACUGCCCUUCACUGAAGGUGUUACAGAAUCCCUCAUCAUCAAGUUUUCCUGCAGAAAUCAAAUUCAAACGGACAUCCGGUGCAUGUCUGACAUCCUUGAGAGUUAACUUUGUUCCAUUGUUACUUACCAAGCUAACAUCUCCCAUACCAAUAACCGAAACCAAACCAUCAUUACCCAUCUUCAAUACCCCAAAAUCACCAGGAGUAUAAGAUGUGAAGAAUUCCUUCCUCGACGUGACAUGAAGUGAUGCACCAGUAUCAAUCACCCAACUAGUCUCGUCGCAUGCUAGGUUGACCAAAUUCUCAUCACAAAUAACUAACAGAUCUUCACGAGUAACAGUAGCAACACGCUCGAAUUUUUCAUCGUCAUUCCGAUCGUGUUUAUCACCACCACAUUUGUUCUCUUUCUUCCACUUGAAGCAAUAUUUCUUGAUAUGACCUUUCUUACCACAAUGAUGACACUCAAGAUUCUUGUAUCUCGAUCUUGACUUGCUUCGGCUUUUAUCUCUACCCUUUCCAUCUUUGUCUCUGUUUCUCCCCCUGUUCUCGAUAACCAACACCUCGGACUGUGAUGUAGAACCCUGAGAUCUUCUUCUAACCUCUUCAUUCAACACACCACUCUUAGCCAAAUCCAAAGUAAUAAUACCCUGUGGGGCAGAAUUAAUGAGUGAGACUCGAAAGGUCUCCCAAGAGUCUGGUAGAGUAGCAAGCAACCAAAGUCCUAAAAUCUCGUCAUCAAAUUUGACACCCAUACCAAGCAACUGAUUCAUCAUACUCUGAAAUUCACUAACAUGGUCAGCUAUAGACAUUCCUUCUUUAUAUUUCAGCGCCAUCAUUUUCUUCAGCAAAAAUAACUUGUUAUUGCCCGACCUCGAAGCAUACAAGCUUUCAAGCUUCUCCCACAAUGUUCGAGCAUGUGUCUCCUGAUCAAUGUGAUUGUAAACAUUUUCUUCAACAAAUUGCCGAAUAAAGCCACACACUUGUUGAUGCUCAAAUUCCCAUUCUUCAUCACUUUUCGAAUCGGGUUUUUGAGUAGUAAAGACCGGAAGAUGCAAAGCCUUCACAAACAACAAGUCCUUCAUUUUAUUCCGCCAAAGUUGAUAAUUUGUGCCAUUCAACAUAAUCAUCUUGCUCGUAUUAAUUUCCAUAAUUAUCUGACACAAUAACCAAGCUCUGGUACCAGUUUGUUGGGAAGAAACCGAACAACCGAAACAAAGCGAAAGCACAACCGGUGUUCUUUCUCUCCUUAUAACUCCUGUAAAAAAUUAUGGCAAGCACAAUAGCACAAGAUAUGUUCUCUAGCAACCUUAAUCAACCACAAAUCAACUAAUGCAACCACAACAAAAAUAAAUAGAGACACCAAUAUUUUUACGUGGAAAACCCCUCUAAAUUAAGGGUAAAAACCACGGGACUUUAGAGUCCGAUAAAGAGCUCCACUAUCAUCAAAUGUUCAACUACAAGAUCACAAUAUCAAGCCUACAACAAGCAUUCAACUCUGACAAGGCUAACAACAUGUAAUCUUUAGCAAAAGAGAGAAAAAUGAGAGAACAUCACCAAAAACGUAGCUGCUGAAAAAUGGGUAUUUCCGACGCUACAAGACUCGGAUGAAAAAUCCGACCGUACAAAGUCAAGAACACCUUAUCACCUAGCUGCUGUCCAAAAAUCAGCUCAAUCGAACCACGGAUGGACCUUCGAUCGAAGAGUUGAUCACUGCUGCACCAAGCUUGAAAAUCUGAUUUUUUUCUAUUCUCUUUCUCUCUAUUUUUUCUUUAGCUCUCUGCAGAAAAAUUUCUGCCCAACACCCGUUAAUAAGCCAAAAAAUUGGCUUUUGACAAAACCAAAAGAAAAAGGAAGGCAAAACAUUUGUGCCAGAAAAUAUGGGUUUCCCACAUAGUGGGACCCAUACCCAACACUUCCAUGAAGCAAGUAAGUUUUGAACCAAAGCCUACACUUCUUGAUAAUGUCAUACGGUUCCUAAAAGGCCAGAAAACAAAUAUCUCGACCGAAACAUGUGAUGCUUUGCUAGUGGUGGCUGCACUGGUUGCAACAGCCACUUUCCAAGCGGUUCUCAGCCCACCGGGAGGGCUUCGACAGGCUGACAGUAGCGACAGUGAUUCACUUCCGUUCAGCAAGGUGGGGAAGGUGGUGAUGAAAGAAUGGUUAUACAUAACUUUCUUGAUUCUUAAUAGUACUUCAUUUUGGGUGACAAUCAUAACCAUUUAUCUUUUACUCCCAAACGGGUUUUAUGGUCAGCUAUCGACUCUACCCUUAAUUCUCUUCUCGAUUACCUACUUGUUCUGCUCAACAAUCAUAUCACCAAGCCUCAUUUGUGCCAUUGUUAAUUUCAGCUUUUUCAUAUGUUGUGUGGUGUUACUAAGUUCAGGCCUUGUGGUUAUAUCCAAUCAUUCCUUGUUGUCCUACAUCAAGAAAUUAUGGUCCCGUUGCAGAUAGGAUGAUUUACUUGUGGAUUUGGAGUUUGUUGCAUGGAACCUCCUCAUCACUUGUUUGUGUUGUGUUACUCUGUCUAUGACAUAACGUUGAAACUCUAUUGCUAAUUGUUGAAUAAUGUAUUGUAAUUAAAGUUUGUAUUCAAUCAGUGAGAUGGGAAUGGAUGAAUUUAAGAAAUUUAGUAGCCAUUUAAUUAGGAUG
rnacentral:lncRNA from 1 species